UAGCUUCCCGAUUGAUCUUGGAAGCUCCUUAAUUUUUGUUUCUCACAAACCAAGAUAAUGCAGGUUGAAGAGGUUACAGAUUUCACUCGGAACUUUCUCAAUUGGCGCUCCUUGUAGUUCCAAGACACGUAAAAAUUUUGAUGAUCUUAAGACCGACUUCAGUAAAUCAUUCCUCAUGGAAUUGUUGAAAACAAGUACUGAACGCAAAUGAGAUUUGUCUUCAGUACAAUAUUCAGUUAUAUCGCUUAGGAUUGACAAGCGUCGUGCUUUGUAUCCCUGCAAUAUUGUCCUUGAAUGCUCACAAACCAUGCAGAAACUUAACUCCUUUGACUCCGAACGAGCGAGGACUCGAAUGAUGUCAUGCAUUCGAUAUGCAUAAACUCUACCAACUUCGUUCCACUCAGCCACUUGUAGUAGACAGCGAUGAACAAGUUCGUUAAGGUAGUCCUCGGCCACUUCCUCCAUCAUUCGUUCUCUUUCUUCAAUGAACCCUUCAGCCACCCAAAGCCUUAUGAGCCUGUCACUUUCAAUUGUAUAGUCUUCCGGAAAGCUUGAACAAUAUAAGAAGCAGUUUUGAAGGUAAUGGGGAAGAUCGUCCAAACUAAGUUUCAAAAUGUCAUGUACUUUGCCAUGGAGCUUCGAUUCGUUGUUAGUUAGAUACCACUCAAGAUCUUUGUAAACCUUCUCCCAUUCAGAACUGGUUUGUUCUCGAAAUGAUAAGAGACGAGCUAUAGAUACGAUAGCAAGGGGCAAGGCACCGCACUUCUCGACAAUUCUUUUAGCACAUUGUUCUAAAGGCGGUGGGCAAAUCUUGUUUGCACUUUUCCAAAAUGCGUUUUUACAAAACAGAUCCCACGAAUCAUCUGCUUGCAGUGGCUUUAGCUCAAACAUAUGAUUCUCGUUUGCUAAUAGAGCUACAUCGCGAAUCCUUGUUGUGAGAACUAUUCUACUCUUGCUAUUACUAUUCAGAAGUGCAUUCUUUAUAUUGUCCAGUACAUCAGUACUCCAAACAUCAUCUAGAAUGAGUACAUACUUUUUACACUGCAAGUAAGUGCGGAUUUCCUCAACCAAGCUUCUAUAAUCCAUGGUAUCAAUGUUGUUAGGUACUUCUCUUUUCUCAGCUAAGCUUCUUUUAUCCAUGGUAUCAAUGUUGUUAGGUACUUCUCUUUUCUUACGAUCUUCCCUAUGAAACUCUUUAAGAUUUGUCUAAGCAAAUCAUGAGUCUCAUAACUUUGAGAUACAGCAACCCAAGCACAAGCAUCAAAGGAAGCUUUGAUGAUAUUGUACACAUGAGUCACGAGAGUGGUCUUCCCUAGACCACCCAUCCCCAACACUGAGAUUAUCAUGGGCUGUCGUUGCUGCUCAUCCUCAUCUUUCAACCAUUCGAGCAACAAGUCCCUGUACUUGUCAAUACCCACGAUAUCAUCCUCCUCGACAAAAUGUGCUAAUUCUGCACAGCUCUUGCUACUGCCAACAGCUAUUUGAGGUUUUGCUUCACUUUCCAUUCCUCUUGUAUCAUAUCGUGUCCUUCUCUCCAUAAUGUUUUGGAGCUUAAUUUUGAUCUCUUUAAGUUUGCUGCUAAGGUCGUCCCAUGUUUUUAUAUUUCUGCACCUCUUGAUUGCUCUGGGUAGAACCCCUCCUUGCUCCUCACCCAGCUUGUACGUGAACUCAUCUAUAAUAUCCUCAAUGUCGAAAGCCAAGUCUCUUGUUUGUUUUAUGAAGGUUUUUGUGCUCUCAUCCUUCUCUUUUAAUCUUUCUGCGAUCCGUAGGAAGGAUAGCAUGCUCUCAAGCUCAUCCUUAAUCUCACUUAUAUCCUUCAUGAGUUCUUUCAUUGGUGAUAUCCGUGUUAGUAACAGUGCUGCUGCUGAUUUAGUUGCUUCACUAGCUAAGGUAGCACCGAUCUUCAGGACUAAUGAGCUUAUUACAGCCUCCGCCAUGAGGCUUCCUCCGAAGUGAGCCUGAAAUAAACGAUCUUUUCAAAUUACCAUGUCUCUCCAAAUGAAACACUACCAAAAUGAUGAUUUUUUAAUGCUCUUAUGAGUCUUGGCGAUUUUCAUAAAGAACAUGUUACUGUCUCAACCAAAAUAACUCUAGUGCACCAAACAAACAUUUGUUACAAUUAAUCCUCAGUUAAAACUAAGAAACACUAGUAACAACAUUGUAGUCUGUGAGAACAAAAAGCAAUAACUUGGUUGAGAAUUAGUUUAACAAAUUUUUGAGAUAAAAGAUUCAUUAUAACUAGUCAUACUAUCUCCUACAUGACCUCGAUGUUUAUUUGCAGAGCAAGAUGCCGAAAAGUCCUUUAGAAAAGUAUGAAAUCAAUAAAGAGUUGGCAAAUAAAUGAACCUGCUGCUAGUCACUGAAUAGUGGGUAUUGUAUUAAGGGUGAUUGUAAAUUAUUCCAGAAUUAACAAUUAUAAAUCUGAGUUUUCCUUGAAGCCCUCUCCUUGUUCAUUAAUAAGGCAAUAGCAGGGCUAUCUAUACAAGUCUCAUUUGAGCAAGAAACAAUUAGUGCUCCUUCAAAUAUAUAGUUUUGCGUUAAUAGAAAUAUAAGAACUUAAUUUUAGACUCAUGAACUCUCGUAUUUCUAAUAUAUUAAAUUUCAUUGCCUCGGCAUUCACGCUGCCUAUUGUCCGACCAGAAUCUAAAAAGUUCUAUUUUAACUUCUUUGAUUUGUGCUGCAAUUUGUAAUAUGUUGUAGAAGGUCAUCUCAUUUUACUUUAGCAAGUUUAAAUAUAUCCAGUAUAUAUCCACUAUGUAUGCUAUCCAGUAUCCACUAUGUACAUUACUACAUUUCUCUAUGAUAUAUAUUUAUGGUCUAUAUAAUUAACUAAGAAAUCACAGUGGCUAUUGGUCUUGUUUCCCAAAAGCUUGAUCUAACAGUAAUCUAUUAAAGGCUUAAGAUCUUUUACUCAUUUACAUGUUGAAGGUCUAGCAAGUGAUGCCAAUAUGCCAGUAGAAGAUGAAAAUAGAAAAGACAAACAAACUAAAUUUAAAUAUCAUGCAUUGCAUUAAACUGCAGAUAUAUAUUAGUUGAGCUUUUGAUGAUAAAUAAAAUUCUCUCAACUAUCUAUAUCAAGAUCUACAAUUAAACAAGAUGGUGAAUUUAAGAAUUUUUUAAAAUUUUAUUUUUAGAAGGUUGCUUAUGUUGACCAUUCAUUUUGCUCAAGUUCUUAUUCUAGCUCAAUUAUUAUCUCUUGUUAAUCUUGUUUCCAAAGAUCAAUUGAAUCCAAACAUUACACAACAGUGACACACUAUACUCUCAUUGCUUUAUUAGAGAAUUAAGCUAGUUGAUAGCAAAGAGAAUCAAAAGCAAGAACCCUUGGAACAUACAUAAAAAUGAAUUAAAAAAGAAUAAGUGGAAGAAGCACAACUAACCAACGACGGAUUUAGAAAGGAGAUUAAUUUGAAGAUCAGGGGGCUGCUCCAAAAUAGCCUCAAAUUUUGCCCGAGAAAAUGCUGCGAUCAAAUUACUGGGAGCAGAUGAAAGGAUACAUUAACGCUAGCUGGAGCCACCAAGAAACUUCCCUCCUGCCCGGCCUUCUCGACCAGCAGCAUUUUGUAGGCAAUAAGAAGCCAUUAAAAAACUAGAGAGUCGAUGGGUACACGGAUACCCAAAAGUUUGUCCCAACUCAAAAUUUGAAUGGAAUCAAUUUAUCCGGUUUCGAAUGUGAAUAUUAAAAAUAAAAGACCGACGGAUAUAUAUAUAUGGUUUUGGAUAUGGAUUUUGUUCGAACCUGACCUGAACCCCAUCUUCCGUCUUUAAUUCUAAUCAUCCAUCAAAUUUGAUAGAUAGUUAGUAAGUUAGGAGCACAAGAUCUGCUGUGCUCCUAAUAGCACAGUAGUACUGCUCUCUAUAUAUAUNUAUAUAUAUAUAUAUAUAUAUAUAUAUAUAUAUAUAUUUGAUCUUAUAUUCGAAUUUAUAUUUUAAAAAUUUAGAUUUAAUAUAGUAUAUCUUGAAAUAUGAUAAAGAGAAAUAAUUAUUUUAGGUUCAGUUUUUCGGAUUUUUUUUUAUAGGAUUUGGAGUUUGGAUAUAAAUUUUUAAAAUUUAUCGGAUUCGGUGUUGGAUUCAAGUUUUUGGUUUGGUAGUCGAGUUCGGAUUCUGUUUUUUGAAAACCCAUUCGGAAUCUGAUCUGUGGACAUUUCUAUUAAAAACACUUCGCACUGUGGUUUAGGAAAAAUUCUAGAAUGCAACAGAUAUAUUGGUGACAUGGUAUAACAAAUUAAUCAAAAAUCUUCUUUAGAAAUAUAUGUCCCAUCAUGAUUAUAAAAAAAUAUUUUUAUUAUAUUUUUAUUUUAAAAAAUAUAUAUAAUUGACUUAUUAUUAAUGAUGUGGUGUAAGUGUGGUAGUACUGAAUUCCUCAUGGUUUAGACAAGUCGGCUUCAUAAUAGAAAUUUUAAUAUUGAUUAAAAAUUGCUUCACACUGGUUACUGGUACCUUUGCACAUGGCCCCACAUGGGUAGUUCUCAGAUCAGCUUCAGUAUAGAAUUUUAAAUAUUGAUAAAAUAUUGCUUCACACUGGUAUCUUCGCACAUGAUCACCCACCACAUGGGUUGUUCUCAGAUCAGCUACAUAUAGAAAUUUUAAUAUUGAUAAAAAAUAGCUUAUUAAUUCACAUGCUUGCUAGGUCAGCAAUAAAGUUGGUUGUUUUUCUGUGCAAGUUUUUACGCAUACUCUAUGUUUAAUUGGAGAUUUGAUCUUGGGUUAACGCUACAUAGCGGAUGAUGCAAGCCUAAUUAAGUCAUGUUGAGAGGGAAGAAGUAUAAGGACGAAAAGAGAGUGAUACACGAAAAAUUAUGUCACACCUCAAUAAUCUCACAUCGGAUAGAAAUUGGGAUGUAAUUGAGUAUAUAAGAGACUUAGACACUAAUAAUAAUAACUGAGUUUAAGCAUUUAGGUCGGUGGUUGGGCCUAAUGAAUUAUUAUUGCUAGUGAGUUGGAUCGUUAUAUUUGGUAUUAAAGUCAGUUCACCAACCUUCACCAGUCGAAAAUAUGUGGCGAGUCCAGCCUUCACUAGUCGAAAAUGUGUGGCGAGUCUCGACUGAGACAAGAUCUGAAAGACAAAGUAAUAUACUAUGCCGAGGUCUGAAAGAUAAAGUAAUAUACAAUACCGGAGUCUGUAUGACAAGAUAACCGGCUACACCAGAGUCCAGAGCCUGGAUGGCAAGAUUAGUGAGACGAGUCUCACUAGUGAGCUAGGUCGUUUACAAAUUAAUUUUUCGACAAAGGUGAAAAUAUUAUUAAUCAAAUCUAAAAAUUUAUUACAUUAAUCGAACACCACGUUUAUAUACAUAGAGGCCAUACUCAAAUCCUACUAGAAGAAAAUAAUAAAUUUUAAUGUAUCUCUAAAUUUAAUCAUAUUAGAAAUAAUCAAAUAAUUGGACUAAAAAUAGGAAAAGUAGGAAAGUACUAAACCUUUCAAAAAUAGCCUAAACAUAUAAAAAUAAAAGCUGAAACAAUUGAAUUUGGGUCCCAAACUUGACCCUAACGGCUUUGUCGUUUGAUACGUAAAUCUCAAAAAGUAUUUUUCGAUUUAGAAUUACACGCUAAAAUCAAAUAGUUGAAUGAAAAGUUAUGACUGUUUAAAAAUUUUCUUUGCCGAUAAAAAAAAAAUUAUCAAAUUCAGCAAAAUUUGAAAAUUUCAACUCAGCUUGGUUGAGCCAUAUUUUUUUCAUGAACUCUGGCCGCAUCAAUGGACCUAUAUAUAUAAGAGAAAAAUAUUGAUUCAAAGUUAUUUACUCCAAUUUCUGGAGGGAAAUAGCAAAUGCAAAUUUCUCUCGCUCGCUCUCUCCUAGCAUAAAUUUAAUUGUUUAUUUUUGAAGACAUUUUUUUUCUUUUUAAAGUCAUUUUUUCCUUUUAUUUUUUUCUAACUUUCAAAAAUUUAUAUGUUGUUUUUUUAAAAUUUUAAAAAUAUUUUCAGGAGAUACGAUAUUAAUGGAGAGGGCAAAAUAAUCAAAUUAUUUUUUUUAUAAAAAAUAAUUUUUAAUAUAUUUUUAUUAUUUUGUAGGGUAUUUUUGAUAUAAAUUAUAAAAAAUUGAUGAGAUAGUGAUGGAAUCCCAACGGAAUGGGCUAAAGAUAAUAAUUUUGUAUAUAAGGAGGUUUUUUAAAUACAAUAACUUGAAAUAUUAAGAGAACAAAGUAUAGAUUUUUGAAAGUUAAGAAAAAAAAGUGAAAAAAUAAAAUUUGACAUUUUUAUUUUUAUUUUUUAUGAAGGUGCCCAUAAGGCAUAAGCCUUGUAAAAUAUAAAUAUAUAAAUAUCAACUUGUCAUUAGAUAAAAGUCUAUUCUUUGCGAGGGAAAAAAAAAAAUUGGGGAAUUUGUUUUGGAAUCUUUUUAGUUACUCCAAACAGAGUAUGUGAUAUAAUUGUGAUAAAUCAAAUUUAAGUUAAAAUUAACCCCGAAUCAUGUCGUAGAAUAAAGUUAUAAUUAAUUAUUAAAUUAAUCACACCACAUAGUUAGGAACAAACGUAUCCUCCUCUUUUGAUAGAAAACUUUUUCAGAAUUAAAGGAAGAAUCAGAUUCGUUAUAUAUACUAAUAUUAUAGAUACCAUGCGAAGCAGCGAUUUAUUAAAAACAAUCAAUAUGUUUUUUAAAUUAAUCUGUCUAUGAGAAAAGGUCAAGGGAGAGACUUUGAUUUUCGUUUCAACAAUUAUGAUGAUAUGAGUUGCACAUGUGAAUUAAAAUUAAUUGGCCAACAAGUUGGUCAUCGUUAUUUCAAUAUAAUGGACUCCUCUGAUUUGCUAAAUACUAUUUAAUUGAGAGUUUAACACUACAAGAAAUGACAGUAUUGGUGGCAAAAUUAAUGUGGCGAUAAAUUUUGUCGCCACUAUAUAGUUACUUACUGUGGCAAUAAAAAAAAUUGCCACUGAUUAGUUAACUAAAAAUGGCAAUGCUACUUUCGCCAUUGAAUGAUUAUUUUAUCGCCACUAUUUGGUUAUCUAUGGUGGCGAUAAAACAAACGGCCACCGAUUAAUUAACUUAAAGUGGUGACACUAGUUUCGCCACUAAAUAAUCAUUUUGUCGCCACUAAAUCGUUAUUUAUGAUGGCGAUAAAAAAUAUUGCCACUGAUUAAUUAACUUAAAAUGGCAAUAUUACUUUCACCACUAAAUGAUUAUUUUAUCGCCAUUAUUUGGUUAUCUGUAGUGGUGAUAAAAAAUUUUUGCCACCAAUUAAUUAACUUUAAGUGGCGAUAAAAAAAUUUUGCCACCAAUUAAUUAACUUUAAGUGGCAAUACUACUUUUGCCACUAAAUGACUAACUUUUUGCCACUAUUUGGUUAGCUAUAGUGAUGAUAAAAAAAAUUGAUGCAUAUUAUUAAUAAAAUUACAAUAAAAAUAAAAUAUUUAAAAUAUUUAUAUUAAAAUAAUGUAUAGUGAAGAUGAAAAAACUGUAGUUGUUAAAAAUUGAGGGUGAAAAUGUACAGGGACACCUUCAACAUCAGAUCAUUUUGAAAUUGCUCUAUGAAUUUUAAUUUUAUUUUGAUUAACACCUCUGAACUUAUUUUGAUUAUUUUAUUCUAGUUAAUUUAGUUAAAUUUUUAAAUUCAAGAGCUUUAUUAAUUAGUGUUUACCGCUUCUCCCGCGUCCGCGAUCGCCCCUCCCAUGACCGCAAUCGGUAAAACCUAACCCCCUACCUCCCCCAAACCUCUCACCCCGAACCCUAAUUCGAUCCCUCUUCUUCUUCUUCUUCUUCUUGUUCUUCGAUCCAGGGACGACGGGGACUUCCACAAGGCGUUCAAGCUCUACACGCGGCUGUGGAAGGCGCGGCGCUCACCGAGGCCGGGAUGCGGCGGUGGGAGGUGGGCGAGAUCGCGUAGCGCAUCGCCCAGCUCUACUACGGCCAGUACUGCCGCACCAGCGACUCCUCCUACCUCGCCGAGGCCUUCGUCUNGUAAGCUCCUUCUUUGCUUCCAACCGGGUGGGAGAGUGAGAGAGAUGGAGAGUUGCAGCUAGAAGACCUCUCUCUCUCUCUCUACACGAAGUUAAAUAGAGAGGAGUGAGGGGUGAUACAAACGAGGGAGAGAAAAGACCAAAACACCCUCUCACCUACCCUGGUGUACCGGUACACGGGACUGUGUACCAGUACAGGAAGCCAACCCGAGAGCAGUACGCGCUCAGCCAGUAAAGCGUACCGGUACACCUCGCUGGCUGUACCGGUACAGCAAGCAGGAAAAUCUGCUGUUUUGCAGAUUUCUUCGCUGAAGGCUGCUAUCGCGUCCCACGGAGUCCGUUUUGCGUCUAUUCGACGCCAACGCGACUCGGACUUGUCCCGACACUCUCCAGAGCUGCCGACAAGCCUCCACAACUGAACACCAGGGAUCUCACACAUACUCUCUCUCUCUCUCUCUCUCUCCCUCUCUCUCUCUCUUAUCCCCUUCUUCUAUUUCUCUCUCUCUCUCUCAUCGAAAACCUUUUCAUGCAGGUUGAGCCGGCCUUCCGCGGCGACACCGGUGGCGGCUUAGGCGGCAACGGCAGCGGUGGCUUAGGCGGCGACGACAGCGGCGGUGGCGGGUAAGGCGGCAACGGCAGCGGCGGCUUAGGCGGCGACGGCAACGGUGGCUUAGGCGGCGACGGCAGCGGCGGUGGCGGCUUAGACGACGGCGAUGGUGGCGGCUUAGGCGACGACGAUGGUGGCGGCGCGGCGACUGUGACACCUUAAUAAUCCCACAUCGGAUGGGAAUGGGGUUGUCAUUGGGUUUAUAAGAGACUUAGACACUAGUAAUAAUAACUGGGCUUAAGCAUUUUGGGCUGUUGGUUUGGGCCCAACGAGUUAUUGUUGCUAGUGGGCUGGGUCGUUACANNNNNNNNNNNNNNNNNNNNNNNNNCGCGGAUCAAGUAAUCACUGUAAGGGUAUGAUUAUGCUUUAUCAAAAAAUCAAAAAUCUUUGCUCCCCAUAGCAACAAGUUAUCACCGGCAUUUCUUUGACCAUCUCAGCGGACUAGUUAUUGAUAGUUAAAUCGAUAUACUUCUCAAGAUAUUCGAUUUCAAUUUCAAGUAUUAUAAGUUGCAAUAUUAUACGUAAAAAUUAUAAAAAAAAAUCUAAAAACUUAUUAUCCAUGCAAUUUUUAGCCAAAAAAAUUCUUAAAAAACAGAAAGAAGGGGCAAGAAAAAAAAAAGAAGAGAGAAAAGGUAAUACAGUGGUUAGGAUUUCGAGAUGGUCUUGUUUUCGAAAUUCGCAAGAGGCUGCGGACAAUGUAUCAGGACUCCAGAGAAGGGCCUCGCGGGGCUGCACGGCUGUUGGUAUGACCCAGGACGUCGAAGGAGACGGCGAACGACAUGCUCGAGACAUCCUUCUUCUCUCUCUCUUAUUCUCGUUUUUGUUUUUUUUUUUAUUUUUAUUUUUCUCACUUUUGUGAUAGGUGUUAGUUGUUUUCCGACAAAUGAGAAGACGGAUGGUGGAUUGCCAGGAUGGCGUGGAGAAUGAGGAUAAUUUGAUGCUUCUACUCCCGAGUGCUUUGCUGGCUUCGGAAAAAAAUAAUUUGAUGAAAAUAAUAAUUUUAAUUUAGAAUAAAUAAUUUAUUAUUAAAGUGUAAUGCGUUUGAUAAGUAGGCUUAAAUUAAAUAAUAAAUUUCUGAAAUAAUUUUUAAAAAAUUGCUUGACAAUUUUUUUUAGAGUUAAUAAUUAAUUUUUUUUAAAAUUUUUAAAUAAUUUAUAAAAUUUAAAUUAAAUUUAAAAGUGGUUAAAAUUUUUUAAUUCAAAUUGUACAAAAUUUAAAUUGAUUUUUAAUUAAAAAUAAUUUAAAGAUUUUAAAAUUUAAAAUAUAUGAAAUUUUAAAAUUUAAAAAUAUAAUUAUAAAUUUUAAAAAUAUAUAUAAUUAUGAAUUUUAAUAUAAAAAUUUUAUAUAAAAAAUAUAAUUAAAUUAAUUUAACUUUAAAUUUAGAUUUAAUUUUAAAAUUGAAUCUAAAUUUAAAUUUAAAUUUUAAUGUUAAAUUAAAUAAUUAUGAAAUAUAAAAUAUAAAAUAUUAUAUUUUAAUAUAUUUAAAAUUUUAAAUUAAAUUUAAAUUAAAUUUAAAUUUAAAUUUAAAUUUAAAUAAUUUGAAGUUAAAUUUAAUUUUAAAUUUAUAAUAUUUAAAAAUUUAAAUUUAAAAUUUGAAUAUUUAAAUUUAUUUAAAUUUGAUAUUUAAAUUUAAAAUUUUAAAAAGUUGAAUAUAAAAAUUUAAAAUUUUAAAUAUUUAAAUUUAAUAAUUUAAAAUUUGAUAUUAAAAUUAUAAAUUUUAAAUUUUAAAAUUGUAAUUGUUAAAUUUGAGAUAAAGUUAUAUUAUUAAAAUUUGAUAUUUUACUUUAAAUUUGAAUUUUUGGAAAAUUUUUAUUCUUUGAGUUGUAAAAAAAAUUUUUAUAAUUUGCAAAUUUAAAAUUUAAAUUUUAAAUUUGAAAUAUUCUUAAAAAUCAAAUUUAGAUUUUAAUUAAAUUUAAAUUUAAAUUAAAUUUGAUCUAUUUUUUCAUACAUUUAAAAUUUAAAGUUUAAUUAAAAUUCAAAAGAUGAAUUGAAAAUGGUAAAAAAUUAAAUAUUAAAAUUAAAUUUAAUAUUGAAAUUAAAUAAAAUAAUUUUGAAAUUUUCAUCCAAAAUCAGAAUCAGAUUUUCAAGACAGCCCAAUUUUUUUCUGCUUUUGAUUCGUGGCCUUCAAAUUCAAUUUUCGUUCUAAAAAAUAGAUCGAUUUAAAAGUGAGUGUUACCAAAACGCUUUCUAUUGGCCGAACUUACCUUUUCAGCAAUUCAAAGCGCUUUUAAAGUUUAGGCCAAACACGCCCUAGACGGGGAAAUAGUAGAUUCCAUAUUUUAUUUUGGUUUAUGAUUACCAUGUGCACAACAUAUAUAAAUUAUUAAAUAUAUUUCUUUAAAGUUGGUAUUUUUUUAGUAUUCUACAAAAGUCUAAUAUAUUCAGAUAUAAGUUCCUGCCUAUUGAUCCGUUAAAAAGUUUAGUUAAUCACAUUUAAACUAUUUAUCUCUGGGUUAUUUUGACUUGGUGUUACCUUUUUAUGAUACGGUUAGAUUUAUGAAGCGCAUAUUUUAAUGGCAAAUUUGAAUAUAAAUAUUUUUCUAAUGGUUCUUAACGUAUAUUUAGAGACAUUGAAAAAAUUACGACUUUGUAGAGAUAAUUUUGAAGUUGAUUUUACAGAAUUAUAUUUGACAAUUUAUAUAUUUGGCCGGGUACCUGUAUGCAUUAAUCCUUUAUUUGUAUUUUAUUUUGGAGAGAGAUUAGAGGAAGAAUGUACAAUUUAUCGCAUUUUAUCUUUUUUAUAAUAUAAUUUAUUAAAAUAUACAUCAUGUACUAAUCACGAGUUUAUUUGGAUUACGCUAGAAAUAUUGUAUUUGUAAAUAUUAAUUUGUGCUUAAUUUUAGGGUUACUUUAUAAUAAAUAUCAAAUUUUAAUUUUUAGUAUUAUUUAUUUUACAAAAUGAUUAUUAAUUUUCCUUUGUAUUUAUUGAGCUGUUUUAUUUUUUUAUAAAGAUAGUUAAAUGACAUUAUUAUCAUUCACAUUAUGUACAUUCAAAAGCCCUAAUUAUUAUUAAUUAUCGAGAAAUGUUCUCCAAAAAGUUCAUUUUAAUUUUAUUUUUAUCUAACAUUACAAUAUAUAUGAAUGAUAAGAAGAUCAAUUUUCUAUAUACAACAAUGUUAAGUUUCUUACAUAGUUAAUUAUUUUUCUACAGAUUCUUCAAAGUAGAGUUAUUUUGUAACAUAUAUCUAGAACGUUUGCAGAAAUAAAUAUAAAAAUAAAUACUGUAGAGAUAUAUGUGUCUAUUCGUAUUAUUACAAAAAGUUGUAUGAUUUACCUAAUUUUAAAUUUGAAAUUUUUUAGAUUAUUCUCUAAUGAGAUUUAUUUAUGAUUUAGGUUUAUUGAGUGUGAGAUGUUGUUUAAUCUGUAAUAAAUAUCAGGAGUAAUAUUAAAAUAUAUAUUUUGUAGUAUCAUAAUUUAUAUUUAAAGAGUUAUUAUAUCUACUCGAGUAAAUUAAAACUUAAGAUUGAUUAGCAAUUAUCUAAAUAUCCAAAAUUUGAUAUUAAUUUUAUAUCAUAUUGGACUUGGUACAAUUGAGAACAAAAUUACUUUGAGACUUAAUAGGAGGUGAAGGAGAAAAAUAAAUAAAAUGCUAAUAAAACUAUUUUUGUAUGAGUUGUAUUUGCCCAAAUCAAUCCAUUUCGUACUUUUAUUGUAUGAUGCGAGUUUCUUAAAUCAAAUAGAACUGGUUUAAAAAAAAAAAAAAUCUUUUCCUCUAUUAACUUUUGAAAUGAGGAAAUGAUUCGGUACUUUAUAAAAUAAAAAUAAAAAUUUACGUUGAUUAUUGAGGUAAAAUAUAUUUUAAUAUUUAGCAGGUAAAAAUAAUUAUUUAUCAGCGUUAGUUUUGGUAUUAACAUAAACAUUUAAAGAAAUUUUUAUUGUCCUAAAUUUAAUCAUUAAUUUGCCUAUAUUUAGAAAUUAAUUGAUUGACUAAUUUAUGCGUAUUAUUAGGCAUUAUUAGGCAUUACCUUAAAUGUUUUAUUGUUUUCUAAAUUAUUGCAUUAAUUAUUAUAGGAAUUGUUAGAAUAGUUCUAGUAUAAUAGAGUAUGACUUAAAUUUUAAUAUUAAAGUUUAAAAUUUAAAGUGAAUUUACAUUAGGAAUUUGUAUUUAUAUUUAAACAAAUAUGUAUUUGGUAAAUAUUUAUUCAAGAUAUUUAAUAUCGUUUAAAAAUUUUAAAUCUAUAGUAGACAAUUAAUUUUGUAAACUUAUUUAAAUUUUGAGUAGGUAAAAGUUUACAUUUAAUGUAUUUAAUAUGUUAAAAAAUUGAUGUUUCUUGACAUUAUAUUUUGUAUGACUAUUUAAAAUUUGUAAUGUUGGUAAAUAUGUUAAAUUUAACAUAUUUAUAGUUUAGCAAAUUAUGAUUUUUAGUCAUUAUUUUGUAUUAUAUUUUAAAAAUAAAUGUGUGAAAUAUUUAAAUUACAUAUUUAAUGUUUAAAAAAAUUUAUAAUUUUUCUAUUUAGAUGUAUUUUACCUUGUUUAAAAAUUUAAUGUAGAUAAUUGAUUAGAUAUAUAUGGGGUAAGGUAUAGUUCAAAUUUAUUUUUAUAAUAGAUUAUUAGACAAAUUAAUUAAAUUUUAUAGUAAAAUCAUUUUUUAAAAUUAAUAAGAUCAUUAUGUAAUUUAAAAUAUAGCCAAAAACUAAAUAAUUAAAGUUAGACCUUAAAACGCUAUAGGAACUUCAUGAUCUAAUAUAGUGCAAUUAAACAUUAUCAAUAAAUAAAUUAAACUGUUAAUUUUAAUUUUAGUUAUAUAAUUUAACCAUAGAGUUUUACUAGAAGUAAACAAAAUUUAUAUUUAAAACAUCUAGAUAUUUGAUAUAUUUUUCAAUUUGAUCAGUCUAAUUAUUUGAUUUAUUAUAAUGAAUUUUGAUCUACAUUUAAAAUUUUUCAAGUUUUUAGUUCAUUUUUUAAAUUUUGUUAUUUUAUCUUUCGGUUUAUAAUUGUUAUUAACUUUUAUUAUUCAUUUAUAUUAUUAAUAUCAAUGAUUAAAAGUGAUAAACGAUUGAUUUAACUAUUAAGAUUUUUCCUUAACUUCAAGAAUCUGAUUUCAACAAUAUGACCGAUAAGAUUAGACAAUUCUGGAACUGGUAAGAUAAGAACAUUUUAUGAAUGACAAUUAACUAUUAGGGUGUGUUUGGUCGCUGCUUCUUAUUAAAGAUUCCAGUAAUCAAUGAAUAAAAAAAUUGCGGGUUUGGCAAACGCACUAGACGUUAUUAGUUCGUAUAUUGAUUCUGGGAAUAAGAUUAACCCCAAAUAGUAAUUAUUCCUUGAGGAAGGGUGUAUCUCCAUAUUAUGAAUUGGAGGGUAAUUAAUAUGUCUAUAUUUUUUUCUAUCCGCGCUAUUGAUAAUUAUUUUUUCGUGUACACUUAACUUAUAUUCUCUCUAAAUUAUUGUCUUUCAAAUUUAAUUUUUUUUCUCUCCUUAAUAAGCUUUCUCUCAUCUCUCUCUCUCUCUCUUUCUAAAAUUUCAACUCUCUCACUCUCUCUAAUUUCGACUAUAUUUUUCUUUCUAUUUUUUUAAUUAUGCUCUCUCUCUCUAACUUAUACUCUCUCUUCCUUUUUUCUAAAAAGAUGUUGAAACUUUUGGUAACAUUAUCUAAAAUUAAUUAAAUAAAUAAAUAAAUUAAUUGUAUAAUUUUUGUAAUAUUAAAUAACAUGGCUAAUUAAUAUUACUGUGUGAACCAAACACAGGAAUUCCACAUUCUUAGUAAUAGGAUGAAUAGUAAUAAGAUUCUCGGAUAUCUUUUAUUCCUAGUAAUCUUUUAUAAUGCGAACCAAACGCACCCUUAGAGCUAAUAAAUAUUUUAAACAUAAAAAUUAAAAAGAUUAGGAUUACUGGUGAGAAAAAAAAAUGGUUAGGAAUUUGAAUUCGAAUCCGACUAACAAUCGCAAAACUUAUUUCCGAACUUGACGGAUUUCAAAAAUUCAUAUCCAAAUUCAAAUUUUUAACCACACGUGCUAAGAACGAUCAAUAUGAUUGUAGGAUUGUUAAUCUAAAAUUUAGUUCAUAUGCAUGUUUGAUUAAUUAUUCAAUGAAUAUGCUCUUUGACUAGUUCAAUUCACUAGCAAGGUUAAUGUAAAGAAAAACUAGAUCAUAUUGUUUUCUUUUAAAGAAGUUAUUUUUAGUAUUUUAAUUGUUAAUUUAGUAUAACUCCUUUUUUUUUAUUUUCUCUUUUUUUUUUUUUGAUGAAAAGAUUGAUUUUUUUGAUUUAUUAUUACAUGCGUUGAACUACUAAAGUUCAACUACUAGAUUAAUUCGUCCAUAGUGGAAGGCUAAAUUACAAUUUAGUCUAUCGGUUAGCAUCAAUUGUUUUUUAGAGAUAAAUAGCAUACUACUCAUUUCGUUUAUUACAUUUAAAAAUAAAUUUAGCUGAAAAUAUGAAUGGAUUGGAAUUCGAACUUGAAAAAUCGGGUACCAACGAUCAAGUCCUUUGCCACUUGUGCUAGGCACGUUUGAUUCGUUAGCAUCAAUUGUUAUUCAUAGGUUUUCAUCACUUUCUCUUUUAUUUGUUUAUUUUUUAUUUUUAAAGAGAAAGAUUAUACUGUCAAAUAAUUUGAAAAUUUUCUUAUAUAAAUGCCCAAUUAUGAAAGGAAAGAUAGAAAGAGAAAAAGAAAACAAAGAGAAAACAAAAAUUUUGAAAAUAUAGUAAUAGUAAAAUGACUAAAUUACCCAUGUAUUAAAAGACAAAAAUAUUCUUUUUUGGGGUACCUGGUAACCGGUACCUCUCCCAAAGUGACCUGCUAUUGCAGGUCACAAUUUUAAAAAAACUAAAUCUUAGCCGUUGAAUACGCGUGAAUGAACGGUAACGAAAAAAAAAAAAGUAUAGAAGCAUUACUCUAAAAUUAAUCGUUAACAGCAGCGAAGCGCGGGUUCUAUACUAGUACUAUUUAAUUGAGAGUUUAAUUAAUUCCCUCCUAUGGCCGUACAUCUUGUAUGUAAUGAAUGCGUCGAAUAAAGAGACUAAUUAGAACUCACAGUCCGAUUAGAUUCUUAAUUAAACUCUAUUUAUGCUUUAAUAAAACUAAAUCUCAUCUUAUCCUAAUUAAAGUAGAAUUUGACUUUAAUUUUAAAUAAAUUGGACUUUAAUUUAAAUAACUAUAAAUUUAAACUGAAAUCUAACAAUAGAUUUUCUCACUAAUCUGUUAAACAACUAUACUUGUGAAACUACCUCUUCUAUUUACGAUUUAUUCUUAUAUUGUUAUAUCAAGUCCUAUUUAUUUAGGAUUAACUCAACCUAGUUAAGANCUUUCGGUGGCAAAAUUGGAUGAAGAUAUGUUUCCUUACCUGCAAGCUCUGCCCGCGUUGAUGAUUCUUAUCCUUUGUCGCGCAUAUGAUGGCAUGAAGUUGCACUUCCAAGCAACAUCAUUCCCGAAGCUAAAGGAAUUGUUAAUAUCGUAUGCCCCGAAGCUCAGUCAGGUGGAAAUAGAAAGAGGAGCAAUGGCAAGCCUGAAUACGCUUUACCUAGGCGGUUGCCCCGAGCUGAAGGAGCUGCCCUCUAGCAUCGAGUACCUUACCACCCUUCAGGAUUUAUGCAUUAGUCUCCCGGCAGAGGAACUUGUUGAGAGGCUUCUAGGAGGAGGAGGAGGAGAAGGCGACCACAGCAAUGACUGCCGCACGUGGGUUCGCCAAAUCCCGAAGUUUACUAUUGGUUUCACACGAGACGGCAAGUUUGUCCAAGAAAGAAUUCAAUGAGUUUGUGCGCGUUUUGCAAAGCACCGGCCGCCGAGCUUGAUGCUUCCACAUUUUCCGCCUCAGAUCUUCUAUAUAAUCCGUGCAGGCUUGAGGAAAAUUCAAAAUGAUGCAUGAUCGAUAUGCAGGUGUUAUCUUAUAUGUAUCUUUUAUUUUAGGGAAAACUUCAAAAACCCCCCUGUGGUUUCGUGCUUUCUCAUUUUAGUACCCUGUGGUUUAAAACGUAUCAAUUUGCCCCCCUGUGGUUUCAUUUUUAUCUUUUCCGAAGCUUUUUCGUUAACAUUUCGUUAAAUUAUAUAUAAAAAACUUCAGAUAACUAUCUAUAUUUAUCGAAUAUUCACUUUAGUAUCCUUUAAUUUUAACUUUGUCACUGAUUUAAGAAAAAAAUAAUAAUAAAUUUGAUAACAAAAAGAGAAAAACGAAACCACAGGGGGGCAAAUUGAUACGUUUUAAACCACAGGGUACUAAAAUGAGAAAGCACGAAACCACAGGGGGGUUUUUGAAGUUUUCCCUAAAAUAAAAGAUACAUAUAAGAUAACACCUGCAUAUCGAUCAUGCAUCAUUUUGAAUUUUCCUCAAGCCUGCACGGAUUAUAUAGAAGAUCUGAGGCGGAAAAUGUGGAAGCAUCAAGCUCGGCGGCCGGUGCUUUGCAAAACGCGCACAAACUCAUUGAAUUCUUUCUUGGACAAACUUGCCGUCUCGUGUGAAACCAAUAGUAAACUUCGGGAUUUGGCGAACCCACGUGCGGCAGUCAUUGCUGUGGUCGCCUUCUCCUCCUCCUCCUCCUAGAAGCCUCUCAACAAGUUCCUCUGCCGGGAGACUAAUGCAUAAAUCCUGAAGGGUGGUAAGGUACUCGAUGCUAGAGGGCAGCUCCUUCAGCUCGGGGCAACCGCCUAGGUAAAGCGUAUUCAGGCUUGCCAUUGCUCCCCUUUCUAUUUCCACCUGACUGAGCUUCGGGGCAUACGAUAUUAACAAUUCCUUUAGCUUCGGGAAUGAUGUUGCUUGGAAAUGCAACUUCAUGCCAUCAUAUGCGCGACAAAGGAUAAGAAUCAUCAACGCGGGCAGAGCUUGCAGGUAAGGAAACAUAUCUUCAUCCAAUUUUGCCACCGAAAGUGUUAAUUUGGUUAGGUUUGCUAGAGACCCAAAGGACGCGGCAAGCUUAGGGAGUGAGUUUUUGUCUAAUUUACCCUUCAGAUCUAAUUGUUGAAUUGGCAGAGGUAGGUGCAGGGUGCCCAACUGCUGUAAUUCUUUCCCAUCUUCACUUUCGACAGAUAAAUUGCUAAGAUGGUUCAUCUUUGUGAUACUAUUCCACAAGUCUGCACAGUGAUCGGUUCUUACGCCGAUUAUCUUAAAUGUCCGCAACUCGGUCAAAGCUUCUACUUUCUGCACAAUAUCUGCAGUUGCUUCAAUAUUUGCCAAAGUCUGCAAGCCCUUCAAGGGCCAUAUUCCCACCAGUCCCUUGAUGUUCUUACCCAAUUUGUUGGACAAAACUAGAUGUCUCAACUUUUGGAGCUCUGUUAUUUCCUUUGGCAGCUUUUCUAUUUCACUUUCACAUGUAUCUAAUAUUUGCAGAUUUUGUAGCUUCUCGAUUGAUCUUGGAAGCUCCUUAAUUUUUGUUGCUCGCAAGCCUAGAUAAUGCAAGUUGAAUAGGUUACAGAUCUCACUCGGUAGUUUAACGAUUAGCGCUCCUUGUAGUUCCAAGACGCGCAAAAGUUUUGAUGAUCUUAAGACCGACUUCAGUAAAUCAUAGCUCAUGGAAUUGUUGAAAACAAGUACUGAACGCAAAUGAGAUUUGUCUUCAGUACGAUAAUUAGUUAUAUUGCUUAGGAUUGACAAGCGGCGUGCUUCGGAACUCCGCAAUUUUUUCUUUGAAUGCUCGUAGACCAUGCAGAAACUUAACUCCUUUGACUCCGAAAGAGCAAGGACUCGAAUGACGUCAUGCAUUCGAUAUGCACAAACUAUUCCAACUUCAUUCCACUCAGCCACUUGUAGUAGACAGCGAUGAACAAGUUUGUUAAGGUAGUCCUCGGCCACUUCCUCCAUCGUUCUUUCUCUUUCUUCAAUGAACCCUUCAGCCACCCAAAGCCUUAUGAGCCUGUCACUUUCAAUUGUAUAGUCUUCCGGAAAGCUAGAACAAUAUAAGAAGCAAUUUCGAAGGUAAUGGGGAAGAUCGUCCAAGCUAAGUUUCAAAAUGUCAUAUACUUUUUCAUGGAGCUUCGAUUCGUUGUUAGUUAGAUACCACUCAAGAUCUUUGUAAACCUUCUCCCAUUCAGAACCGGUUUGUUCUCGAAAUGACAAGAGACGGGCUAUAGAUACAAUAGCAAGGGGCAAGCCACCGCAUUUCUCAAUGAUUUUUUGAGCACAUUGUUCUAAAUGUGGUGGGCAAAUCUUGUUUGCACUUCUCCAAAAUGCGCUUUUACAAAACAGAUCCCACGAAUGAUCUGCCUCCAGUGGCUUUAGCUCAAACAUAUGGUUCUCGUUUGCUAAUAGAGCUACAUCGCGAAUCCUUGUUGUGAGAACUAUUCUACUCUUGCAAUUACUAUUCAGAAGUGCAACUUUUAUAUUGUCCAGUACAUCAGUACUCCAAACAUCAUCCAGAAUGAGUACAUACUUUUUAUACUGCAAGUAAGUGCGGAUAGUCCCAACCAAGCUUCUGUAAUCCAUGGUAUCACUGUCGUUAGGUUCUUGUCUUUUCUCAGGAUCUUCCCUAUAAAACUCUUUUAAGAUCUUUCUAAGCAAAUCAUCAAUCUCAUAACUCUGAGAUACAGCAACCCAGGCACAAGCAUCAAAGGAAGCUUUGAUGAUAUUGUACACAUGAGUCGCAAGAGUGGUCUUCCCCAGACCACCCAUCCCCAACACUGAGAUUAUCACGUGUUGCCGUUGUUGCUCAUCCUCAUUUUUUAACCAUUCAAGCAACAAGUCCUUGUACUUGUCAAUACCCACGAUACCAUCCUUCUCGACAAAAUGUGCUAAUUCUGCACGGCUUUUACUACCACCAACAGCUAUUAGAGGCCUUGCUUCAUUUUCCAUUCCUCUCGUAUCAUAUCGCUUCCAUCUUUCCAUAAUGUUUUGGAGCUUAAUUUUGAUCUCUUUAAGCCUCUGGCUAAGGUGAUGCCAGGUUUUUAUAUUUCUGUACCUCUUGAUUGCUGUGGGUAGAACCCCUCCUUGCUCCUCGCUCAGCUUAUACGUGAACUCAUCUAUAAUAUCCUCAAUUUCGAAAGCCAAGUCUCUUGUUUGUUUUAUAAUGAUUUUUGUGCUCUCAUCCUUCUCUUUUAGUCUUUCUGCAAUCCGUAGGAAGGCUUGCAUGAUCUCAAGCUCAUCCUUAAUGUCACUUAUAUCCUUCAUGAGUUCUUUCAUUGCUAACAUCCCUGUUCGUAAUAGUGAUGCUGCUGAUUUUGUUGUUUUAAUAGCUAAAGCAGCACCUAUCUUUAGGACUAAUGAGCUUAUCACAGCCUCCGCCAUAGGAAUUCCUUACAAAGUGAGCCUGGAAUCAAUAAUCUUUCCAAACUACCAUGUCUCUUUAGAUUUGCCGCUAGCAAAAAUAAUUAUUGUUUAACAUUCUUAAGAUUCUAGACAUUUCUAUAGUGCAUUAAACAAACAUUUGUUAGAAUCAUCGGUUAAAAAGAAGAAACACCGGUAACAGUAUUGUAUGGAAGAACAAAAAGCAAUAACUUGUUUGAGAUUCAGUUUAACAAAGUUUUGUGAUGAAAGAUUCAUCAUAACUAGUCAUACUGAACCCGACCUCAAUGUAUAUUUGUAGAGCAAGUUGUGAAAAAGUCCUUUACGGGAGUAUGAAAUCAAUAAAGAGUUGGAAAGUAUAAAUCAAUCUGCUGCUAGCCAGUGAGUAGGUGGUAUCGUAUUAAGCGUGAUUGUAAAUUAUUUUACAACUAACAAUUAUAAAUGGAGUUUGUUUUGAACUUCUCUUCUUAUUCAUAAUUAAGCUAAUAUAUAUCAGGACUAAGUCAUUUGAGCAAGAAACUAUUAGUGCUUCUUCAAAUAGUUUUGUUUUGAUAGCAAUAUAAGAACUUAAUUCUAGACUCAUGAAACUUCCGUAUUUCUAAUAUGUUAAGUUUUAUUGCCUCGACAUUCAUACUGCUUAUUAUCGACCAGAAUCUAAAAGUUCUAUUUCAACUUCCGUGAUUUGUGUUGCAAUUUGUAAAAGUUCUACAUUACAAGUUUUGACAUUAACUGAUUUUUUUUUCAAAAUAAUUAUUAUCUUUGUGAGUUCAGCAGGAAUAUUUCUUAAAGUGAGAUGACUUUGAUACUUUUUGUUUUUUGGAUGAUGAGGCAUUUAAAUAAACGUCAUGUAUCAUUAAAUAUGAUCUAGAAUAUUUGCAUGGUUUAGGAACUGAAAUUUUUUUUUUUUGUCGUUAUCAUUUACCUAGUGAUUAAAUGGUCUCAAAAUUGACAAUUUAACAAGUAAAACAUGACACUUUCUUCUUGUUUAACUGCAAAGAACCAUCCGAAUUAGUUGAGCUUUUGAUAAUAAAUAAAAUCCUCUCAACCAUCUAGAUCAAGAUCUACAACUAAGACUCUGAAUUUAAUAUUUUUUUUAAUUAUAUUUUAAGAAGGUUACUAAUUUUGACCAUUCAUAUUGUGCCUACUUGGUGAGCCAGGAAAUGAAGUUUAAAAAAUCAUAAAAUUCUUUUUUUUGGAAAGUUUAUGUAUCCUUUAAUUUACCAUCUUGCAUGGUAUGAUUAUCGAUUUAAAUGCUCAAUCAUUAACAAUAAAGUGAAAGUAUAUAUAAGGCCAAAUUAUUCUACCUUAAUUAUUAUCUUUUGUUAUUUUGUUACCAAAGAUCAAGUGAAUCCAAACAAUAUACAUAUUAAUCAACAAAGACAUAUACUAUACUCUCUGUGAUUUGCUUCGUUUGGUUCGGGAAUAAGUAAAAAUUGUCUAUUUCAAGAAUAAGGUAUAAGCCUGAAAUAGACUAAUUUUGUAUUUGAAUGAAAAUUAAGUAAUUCCCGCGAAAAAAAAAAAAAACGUUUGGAUAGAUAAGAUGGAAUAAGAAGGAUAAUGGAUAAUUAUAAAUAGAAAAUAACAAUAUUACCUCUUAUAUCAUAAUUUAAAUUUUUAAAUUUUAUAUUUAAAAUUUUAAAUUUAAAUAUAUAACUUUAAAAAUUAAAAAUUUUAAAAUUAAAAUUAAAAUUUUAAAUCUCAAAUUUAAAAAUUUAAUAGUUCUAGAUAAAUAUCAAAUAUCAAAUUUUAAAUUAAAAAUUAAAAAUAAUAAUUUAAAUUUGAAUUUACAAUUAUAAAUAUUAAUUUUAGAUUAUAAAUUAUUAAUUUUAUAAAUUUAAAUUUGAAAUUGAAAAUUUAAAUUAUAAUUUAAAUUAUAAUUUAAAUUGGGAUAGAAUUAGUUAAUCCCACGCCAAUUCCGGGGGGUGGGGUUUGUUAACCCCACCCUCAAAAAGCUUGUUUGGGAUUAGGGGGUCGGGGGGGUUGGGGCGCGGCGUUCAAACCCCUUAUCCUCCCUCCUAACCCCGCAACCAAACACCACUUUAAUGAAUUAAGCCAGUUGAUAGCAAAGAGAAUAAAAAUUAUUUUAAAAAGAGUAUGGGAAGAAGAAGAAGAACAACUAACCACAGAUCCAGAAAGGAGAUUGAAGAGGGAGCUGCUCCAAAAUAAUUAAUUUCAAUUUCGACUAGAGAAAAUAGUGCAACCAAAGAAGCUCUUGAAGUAGAUGUUUUAGGGAUUGAGGAGUGGGAGACGAGGAUAAACAAGAAACUGAGAGCAAGUGAUACCCUUUUGCAAGAAACUGAGAGCAGCUGCCAAGAAAGUUCUUCCCUCUUGACUUUUCCCAUCAGUGCAGGUUGUAGUGUGCCAUGGAAUUAUUUGAUUAUUUAUCUUUUACUACUAUUCAAAAAUUUUAAAUUUAUUCUAAAAUUAUUUAAAUACCUAUCUAAAAUCUAAUCUCAAUUAUAAAUGGCCUUUUCGCAUAAAAAAUCUACUAGUCUUGAGAUUUUGUAAAAGUGAGUCACUAUUUUGAAUUUUACAAAUUCAGCUCGAAUUUUUAGAAAACUGGUCAGAAUAUUUUUAUCCCUUUUUCUAUCUUCCUUUUUUUUUUUUUUCUCGUUCUAUAUAUUUUUUUCUUCUUUCCGACCCUUAUCGUCUCUUCCGGUGCCUUCGCGACCCUCAGCGACGGUAAGGAGGGCGACGCCACCUCCUCUUCCUCUUCCUCCACUUCUACUUUCGCCUUCGCCAGCACAGACGGCGGCGCUGAAGGAGGAGGACUCGGACCGGGCAUGGAUAAUUUAUAAUUUAAAUAGAUAUAAAAUAGUACACCAGGUGCACGGAGUAUAUUCAUAGUUGGUAGCAUUGCUCGGUCCCCAUUCGGAGACACUCGGAUGGGUCAUACGAGUCCUAUUCAUAUUCAUAGUAGGUAGCAUUGCUCGGUCCCCACGUGGAGACGACUCGGAUGGAUCAUACGAUCCUCUCUGUGUCUUUUAUUAUGUUUUAUUUUAGGUACAAUUAUUUUUAUAUGCUUCAAAAUUUCUGAAAUAUUUUAAGAUUAAAAUUUAAUAAUUUUGUUGAUAAUUAAUAGAAAUUGUGUUCGGAACGUAAAACUAGUCAGUUUUCUGCAGAUAACCGCGCACUUAGUAGUGACUUUGGAAAUUCAUAAUUUUGUGCUCAAAACUCCAAUAAAACUUAGCUUAAAAUGUUCCGUCUCAAAAUGCAUUUUGUGUGUAGGACCUUCCGUUUCCAAAAAUUAUGAAAAACUAGUGUAGUGAUCGAUCCGCGCGUUACGGCGGAUAGAUACUGUUAAAGUAAAAAUUUAUAAAGAAUAAAAUAUCAGUUUAAUACAAAAAAAAUAGUAAAUAUAGUCUAUAUUAUAGACAAACACUUAAAAAAAAAUAAAACUAUAAUGAAAAAGAAUCAAUCGUUCCAACAAAAUUAUUCAAUCUUGUUUAAAAGGUCGCAUAUCAUGCAAAUGAAUAAUUAAAAUUAUUUUUAGAAUACAAUAAUCAAAUAAAAUGUCAUAUUACAGUUGAUAUGACUAAAAAAACUCACAGUAAUAUACAAGAUAAUUUACAAAUCUUUAAGCCUUAGUAAAUCUAAAGAAAAAAAGAAAAAGUAAAAAAAAAAAAAAGCCCCACUCCUCCUGAAAUUAAGGGGGUGGCUACAUGUAAAAUUUAGUCAUGAAGAUUAAUAUAUAAGUAUAAAAGUAUAGAUAUUACAUAAAAUGAUGACCUGAUUGCGAGUUUUUCGAAUUUCGUCGAUUUUAUCAAAGAAAUUUCAAAUCCACAAAAAAUGCACCAAGUGACUAUUAGACCUUACAAAUAAGUGCCCACGAGUAUUAGAAACCCUCAAAAGCUAAGGAAAAUAAAUUCACGGCUAUCUUUUAUUCAAAUAAAAAAGUAAAACCAAAUGGCGCUAUUAUUACGUAAUAGAGUAAUAAAAUAUGAACUAGGCUACUAUACUGUUAACGGUACCAAGUAAUUGGUGCUAUUAGGCUUUCUGCCAUUAGAUGUAGGGAUGUGGGGGUUAGAAUGGUAGUAGUUACUUAGGGUUGAGUAGAUGGUUGGUUGAAUGCAUGGUAUGAUCUGAUGGGUAAAAAUAAUAAAAAGGAAAUAGCUAAUGGCGCAAAAUUGGUAGCACCAAGUGAGGGGUAAACUUGUAAUUUAAAUAGCAUGUAAGAUACCCGCCAAUAAUACGAGAUACCCACCGCUCGCUCGGUAAUAUUUUCGGAGUUAUUCUACAUUAUUUAUAAUGCUACAUUGUCAAUUAGAUUACAGACUUAAUGAACCAAACAUAAUAAUUUUGACAGAAUUAUCUAUAAUUGUGAGAUCCCUGGUGUUCUGUUGUGGAGGCUUGUCGGCAGCUUUGGAGAGUGUCGGAACAAGUCCGAGUCGCGUUGGCGUCAAAUAGACGCAAAACGGACUCCAUGCGACGCGAGGGCAGCUUAUAGCGAAGAAUCUGCAAAACAGCAGAUUUCUCUGCUUGCUGUACCGAUACAACCAGCACGCUGUACCGGUACAACCAGCGCGCACCAGCUUAGCUGCUCUCGGGUUGGCUCUUGUACCGGUACAGGAGCCCGUUUACCGAUACAAGGGGAUAGAUAGAGGGCUAUUUUGGUAAUUCCCUCCCUCGUUUGUAUCACCCUUUCUCUCUCUCUCUAUUUAGGUUUGUGUAGAGCAGAGAGAAGGAGUUUUUUCUUCUUCUCCUCUCUCUCUCUCUAGCUGGGUUCUUACGCACAGUGGAGCUCAGGUGGACUUUGGUUUUGGUCGUCGACGUCGUACCGCGGAGCCGUUCGAGCACACUUUCGACGUCGUGUUGCUGCGAGGAGGUCGGGCGAGUGCGGCUUUUCGCCAUCCUUGACGUCGUGCUGAUUCUAGGUAAAUGUUUGAAGUUCUUUAUCUAUGGGCAUUCCUCCAAGUACUUCAAUUCCAUCAAUUUCGAGCUCGGGUGCUACUGCUGCAGAUUUCUGCGUCGACUGUCGGUAUUUUGGCUCGUACGCGACGUUGGAGCAUCGGAUCGCGACAAAACUUGGUUCGCUAGAUUCAGGACUUCGAGAGGAAUCCACGAAGCCCUUACUUGCUGGAUUUGGUGAAGGUUAGCUUGGUCGAACCACUAUUUUUCUCUGCUGCGGCGUAAUUGGACUGAAACGGUGACUUGUGUUGUGUAGAGCGUAGAGUUAGCUCGAUUCUAGACUCGGCGGAUUUCGGUUGAUCCAGCAGGUCGCUCUACACCUGAGAGAGUCCUUCGCUGCCAGGGAUUAGCUUUGAGGUGGGUUUACAUCGGUUUUACUCCUAAGUUCAUAAUCGUCGACAUGUAUAGAUAUCGAUUUUGGAUAAUCUAUUCUAGUUCGAAUUCAUAGAUUAUAUGGUAUAUUGCAAAUUUGAAUUUGGAGCAUGUGGUAAUAAUUGAGUAGGUUAUACAUGUUGGACUUGGAAUUGAAUUAGGAGAAAACCUGUGAUUUGGACCUGUCACUUGUUUAAACUGUCUGAUUUAGCUCUAGGAGCCGUUAUAAAAUUAUACUGUCGCAGUAUCCUCGAGACGAGUACUCCAGGUAGUUUAGAAUACAUUUACGCUCGUACUGGUACGCCGAGUGGAUUUUUACCGAGUCGUUUGGGCUGUUUCGGACUUUUGGGCGCCGUUGGGGUUGACGGUGGGCCCGGUUCGCCGUUUUGGCAUCAGAUUGUGCUGAGGGCACGUUACCUGUUGGUUGUUAGACCAGUUUGAGUCGGUUACUGGACUUUGACUUAUGAGAGCCUGAUUGAGCUCGACAGAGAUACGCUGCAUACUCGGUUGGGUAGCUCCCACGAGUGCCACUCCGGAGACGGGCUUUGUGCUUUCGUGUUGGUGUCGCUCAUGCCGGUUGGACUUGUUCUCCACGGACUUGUAGUGUGGAGGUAGCUGGAUAGUCACAACUGGGCAGGGACGGGUGUGUUUACAGUCCCAGGGACGGGUAUGCUUACAGUCCCGAUUGGAUUGGGUCAGAUUUGACAUUUCCUACAGUUGGUCAGUGUAGAGCAUGAUAGUGUAGUGAUUUGUAGCAGUUGAGUUUAUUUCCUGCAUUUUCUUACUAUCCUGGCUCCCCUUUGUAGACUUAGUGGGUGGACCGAUGUUGUUGAGGGCGGCACCCACUAAGGACUACCUGUUUUUACAGUAGUUCUCACGCCCAGUUGUUACUCCUGUUUUGCAGAGCCACAGGUUUCGGCUGCUGCGCCCUUCGCGGAUCAGGAUCAAGGCAAGGGCGUCGCGAGUUAGAGCCCUACCCGACGUGCUGAGCUAGAGGUGCCCCUACUGCAGGUAGAUGUUUGUUUUGAGUUCAUGUACAUAGUAUACUUAACUCGCCAGUGCGAGUAGCUCUGUAUUUUGGUUUUGGACUAUGAAUAUGGAACUCUGUUCGUUUAGCUUCUGUUUACUCUAGCAGCUCUUUGCUACUGUUUGUAGUAUUGUAUAGUUUACAGGUACAGCUAUCGCUUCGUAUACAGGAAAAAUUCCUUGUAUACGGCGGAUUUAUCGGCGUGUCCGGGGAACAUGCAAUCCGGGGCGUGACAAUAAUUCUGACAGAAUAAUCUUAACCAAAUACGCCUUUUAUAAAUUAUGAAAGUGAUAAAUUUUGUAAAUCAGAAUGUCUACAUAAAUGCGGCGGACGCGAGUUCUUAAAUUAAAAUAAAACAUAAAAAAAGAACACGGAGAGGACUCUCGUGACUCAGGCACUGGUUUACUUCUGUACAUGUAAAUUUAUUAAAUAAUAUUUGGUAGUUAGUAUUUUAAAACUAAAAUCUAAUUCAAUAUAUAUUUGAUUUAUAGUAUUUAAAAGGAGGGUUUUUUAUAAAAAAUCCUACGAAUUUUUAUAAUUACAAAAAUAUUUCUCUACAAAAAUUAAUUAUAAAAAUAGGCAUCUAAUAUGCCAGGUGAGAUAGUCUGCUGAUAAAAUAUUGAAAGCGGUAAAGUAUUUAAAAGCGGCCAAGUAUUUAUCGUCGAUAAAAACGGUAAAUGGUAAACCGCUUUUAGUAUAUUUUUCUUACUGGUAUAUGGGAAGCAUUUAAAAGUGUUUAAUGGUUCACCACUUUUAAAAAAUUAUUUAAUUUUUAGAAGGUAAUAAACCAUUUGUCACUUUAUAAAAUACAGCAAAUGGUUCACCACCUUUCUUUAUGUCCUCGCUACGCUGGCGCCCAUCUGACUAGAUGAAGUCUAUUUUUACACAUAAAAAUUUGAAGAGUCUAAUUUUAGAAUAAAGUUUUGAAGAGGGCUAGUAGCCUAAAAACCCCAUUUGAAAGUCUCAUGUAUAGAAAUUAUAAAUUAAAAAAUUAUUACUAAGAUAUCAAAGGUAUUUUUGAUUCAUGCAUGAUUGGAAUGGAAAAGAAUAAUAGAAUUGGAUUGCAUUAUAAUGAAAAAUAAAAUGGCGAAUUAUCCAAAAGUGUAUGGUCUAUUAUGGGAAUGAAAAUUAGAAUAGAUAUCUAGAAUUUUGAGAGUGGAUUUUUGAUAGGAGAGGGAGGCGUUUAUGAGAGAGAAUUUUCAGUUGUUUACUCUAGAACGAGCUAAUUUGGGAUUCAGGAUCAGAUUUAACCAUAAAUAGAUCGGAUAAUUUUCAUUUCAGAGUGGAAUAUGAAAUUGGAAUCCGAUUCUUGUAAAGCAAACAAUAAUGAUCGGAAUUGGUGAAACUCAAUUUGAUUUCAGAGUUAAAAUAGAUAAACCAAACAAGUUUUAAGUAGUUCCAAAAAUCGACUACAUUAAAGUAAACAGCUGUUUGAUUUAUAAAAGUUAUUAUUCAAAUUUUAAAUUUUUUAUUAUUAUAUUUUUAAUGUUAUAGAAUACGUCUAAUGAAUUAGAUUCUAAUAAAUUUUUUUAAAUGUGCAAUAUAUAAGAUAUACUUACACAUAUCAUAUGUAAAUAAUAAUUUUUGUUCUUAAAGGGGUGAGUUCAUACUCCAGCUUUGUUGUGUAUAGAAUUAGAAUUUAUUUAUUAUUCUAUUUCAAAAUAUUUAUAAUAUUUUAUAUAAAUAAAUUAUUAUAAUAAAAACUAAUCUUUUAUUUGUGUUCCAGUCGUGUCUAUGUCUUACUUUUCGAGAAAUUGCCGAAUCACUGUGUUCAAGUCGUGUCACAUCUUAUGUUCUCACUACAACAAAACUAAGUUUUAACGGCGAUUAUUUUCUAAAUGCCAGCAAUUAUAAUUGCCGCUAAAUAAUUUAGUGACAAUUGUAGUAAUUGCCACUAAUGGUGGGGUCGGUAAAAGUUAUUAUGGCAUUUGUUUGGACGGUUGGUAAAAGUCUAAACAAAUGCCGCUAAAUCCUAUCCAAUAACAACAAUUAUAAAUACCAUUAUAAUUAAUUAUAAUUGCCACUAAAAGUAUACUAAAUAAUUACUAAAUAAGACUUAUAGCGGCAAUUGCAAUAUAUAUAUUAAAACGCUUGAUCCACAAUUAAAUAUUUCAAUAAAUUGAAAUUAGAAAACAUUCAUUACCAAAGAGCAAUCAUGAUUUGCGACAAAUCACAGUUUCAAUAUUAAAAAUAAAUUUCAUACAUGAGUUUCAACUACAAAAUGCUUGUUUGAAUUCCAGCCAAACAAUAAUAAAUUCUAAAUGACGCUAAACAUCUAUUAUCUCGAAAAAAUCCAAAAUUCUAAGUGCUCAAGCCAUUAUUGUUUCACUUCUAAAGCUAUUGGAUUGACAUAGCUUUAGUUGUAGAUUUGACAUAGCUAAGUGAUAUCCUGCAAAAAGUAAAACCGCUUUCAGUAAGCUAGCAAUACGGAGGAUGAGCUGAGGCAUAGAUACUAUUUCUAUAACAAUCAUAUACUUUAUUGUGAUAGGUAACCCAAUAGAAUAGUAAAGAAGAACAGAAAAUGCACGUCUACAGUGUCAUACACUAAUAAGCAAAGUGGCAACUUAGUCUAGAAUGAGAAAAAAUAAUACGCUAUUAAAUCCAUCAAUUUCAUUCAAUUAUGACAGUCAAUAUAAGAAAUACACUAGUAUUGCAAAUACAUUAGUUUUACCUCUAUAUUGUGGUGUGUAUCUUGAGGUGGUAUCUUCAAUUGAGCCUUCCAAUCUUGAGAACUAAAAUAAUCAAAAAAAUAACAAAAGUUGAAUCAAUAUAACAAAUAAAAAUCUACUUCACAUUAGAUCCUUUUCCUUUUCACUAGUAACUUUGCAUCUGUUAGAUGCAAAAUGAGAAUACAUGCACAAGCAAAAGAUUUCAUAAGUAUCAUAAUAACGAGGUGCACUCUCUGUUAUGCACUCAACUAAAUGCUUCACAACAAGAUAAAUAUAGCAAUAAUGUUGUCCAAAAUCAUUAAGUUUAUUGAGACAAGCAUUUGAAAUAGUUUCCUUACUAGUAGAGAAGGCAUUGAAUUCAUCAACCAUAAUGAUGGGUCAACACUCCUGAAACAGUGACAGAAUAAGACUCCAUUUGAAUAUCACAAAUCUUAACAGAUAUAUGACUAAAUCUCAACAGAUUAUAUCUUUCUACAAAAUCUUCUUAGUCAGGUAACUAGUAUAAUCAACAAACAUUAAUCAGGAUAUUAUUAUAGAAACUAAAGCAUGCCAUGUAUUGAACAAAACACAUCUACUAUCUCACACAACAAGCCUCACAAUCACCAAGUAGCAACACUUUAUACUAACAACAAAAUUCCUCAAACCACUAAAGUAAACAAAGCAGAGGAACACAAAAUAAGCUUCAAAACUAACCAAAUACUCAUAACAACAUCUAUAACAUAAAACCUCAUCAUCAAGAUCAAGUGUGCCCCCAAAAUAAUAGUAAAAUACUCUACUAUCACUGAUAAACAACAGUUUCUUUGUACAAAGUGGUUUGUACAUCAAACCACUUUGAACAUUCCUCACACUGAGCCCAUUGAUGACUAUCACUGAUGAACAAUAGUUUCUUUGUAUAACAAAAUAUUGAACUAAAAAAUAAUCAAACUUGUAUUGAUCUGAUGUCAACAAAAAAAGGGUAGUUGGAGCUUUCCAAGUUGACCUAUGGCUUGCUUAAAGCUAGCAGCAGAAGAUCUUAUUCAACACCUAUUACCACAAGCACCACAAUAUUUUGAAGUGAGAAAGGAUUGAAUUUUUGUUCUUCUACUCAUGAAGUGCUUCAUACGUCUGAGCAACUGACUAGAUAUUUAACCGAAAAAUUAUCCCCUACUGUAACUUGAAAAAAAAACCCUUUUCUUAUACCCAUUGCAUAAAAUAAAAUAGAUAUAUCUUUGUAUAACUCGCAACAAAUUACUUUCAGUUUGCACAUCAAAUAGACAAAAGAUUGAAAAAGAAGCUUGGAUAACCAGCCUAGAACAAAAACUCCCAAAAAACCUACCCUCAUCUAUUUAGAUAACAUGAGAUUAAUAUGCCUUUAUUACAAGAAAUCAUUCUAAAGCUUUAGUCAAAUGAAAAUAGCAGAGGGAAAUACCUCGUAUUUCUCAAAUUCAUGGCCUUCAAUGACAACAACAGAAGGAACAGAGUUAGGAGGUGGACGGAGCAGUUCUUGAGCCUCUUCCCAUGACAAUUUCAACUCCAUUGAGUCCUCAUUUUCAAUCCUUAGACGUUUACUCUUUGAACCAAAUGAGCUUCCUUUCCUUUCACUAGGGCCAUGUGAAUACUUACCAAGAGGUCCAUCCUUUUGUAUAAAUCCUCCUUUGUCAAACUUAGGCAAGGUUGCCUGGUCUCCAUGACUACUAGGAUUUCUUGAUUCUAUAAUGCCUUUAGGUGGCCGAAGAGGGAUGUUUGCAUUUGAGUCCACAGCAGUGCUUUCAUUCCCACCCUCUGGACCAGACUUAACAGUUUGGGUGUCCUGCCCAUGUAAAUUUUUAUUAAAAAGGAAGUCCUCAAAUGAGAAAGGCCUACUUCAUCUUUUCACAGUGCAUUCUUAGCAAUAAUGGAGUAAAAUCUAACUAGGAGGCUAUACUUCUACAAAUUGAUAAGAGAAGGAAAUCAUACCUAAUAGCAAAUAUAAACAAGAUAACAUUAAUACAAAGAAACAAAAAAAAAGGUGUCUAACACAUUGCCCUGGUACUACGACUAAAAGCAUCAAUUGUACCUCUAACUCAAGCACACCUUCCUAACCAAUAUAUCCUAUGUGACAUUGUUAAUAAGAUUCGAGUGAUUUUCAGAUAAGAGCAUAGAUUGAUGAGAAGAAAUAGCUUGAACUUCAACUCUGUAAUUAACAACCAUCAUCUAAAAUUUAGAAAUACGUCAUCGACCUAGAUAUCGGAUUUGAUAUUUCAAUAAUUAUUUCAAUCGCACUAGUAGAUUUUGUCUCCACAUAAGCAGAUUUUGAUCCACAUAUAACAGAUUCUCAAUAGCAAACAGAAACAAAAAAAACAAGCACAUAUAGUCCACACACAAAAGCAUUAAUUGUGUCAUCAACUGUUAAGUAGCUUAGAAAGUAGUAACAAAUGCAAUGUAAUAACAUAUUUAUAAACUUGAUACAGACCUGUUCUGCUGAGAUACUAGAGCCCUUUCUAAAUCCCAUGACCAGCUUUCCUUCUGAAUCAAUUCGGCUGAACGUUACUGCAAAAGGAAAGAAAAAAAGGAAAAUUCAAAUAUCAUGAAGGAAAAGGGAACACUCAAAUCCCAGUGUAUAAUCACAUUGGACAGGAACAGUUCUGUGUCCCUAUCUGUAUAAUAUAAUACUUUACUAAUUUAUAAUUUGCACUUUACUAUUAUUCUGCAGAUUGUUAUGUACGACACUUUGCUAUUCUAUUUUACUUUAUUAUUACUUCUUAUUUAGAGAAAGAUAGUAUACUACUUAUUUUGUUUACUUUAUCAAAAAAUUAAAUUUACCUGAAAAUUGUGAAGCAACUGAUAGGACCUUGAGUCCUCGAAUAUCGACCAUCAAAUUCUUUGCUACAAAUGUUAGCAAAAGUCGGUGUUGCUAUGCUAUUUUAGUUAACAACACGUCCUUACGUAUGAAGAGAAAAUCGAAUAAUAUUUUAAAAACAAUAGGGUGCAUAAUUGAGGUUUACAAUUAUACAUAUUUUGCAAGGGUCUUAGUUUUUCGAUACUUAGACAUUCAAUUUGACGAUCGAUACAGGUAAAUAUAAUUUUGAAUAUUUGAACAUUGUAGAAAUCCAAUUUCAUAAAUUUUUGGCACUACAAUACCUUUUUUUUAACCUCCAAUUACAUAAUCUGCAUCAAUUACCACAAGCAAAAGCUCAACAUCUUUUUAUUCUUCAAGAGAUAACUGAGAAAAACAAAAAAAACAAGUUGCAGAUGCAUUAUAAUUCAAUAUUUAACUUAUUUUAUUAAGGAGGUGUUGAGCCUAUGAGGCACGGACACGUGGUACCCCGGUACACAGGCCACAGCGGUUCUAUUUAAGGGUGACAAUUUUACUGUGCACCGGGAGCGUUGGAAGAAAUUCUAAUGUAACUACUGCAUGAAUUAAGAGAAGUUACAAUAACAGCGAGAGGUUAUACAAGCGAUUCUGAUCGAAAGUGGCCCGAGAAAGCAGGGGUAGCGGCCGAUCACAGAUAAGGCAAUAACUGAUCAUCAAGGGUGAUCUAUAAAUAAGCCAAUAACGUCCUAAAAAGAGGUCUUUUCCCGAGAACAAAAGACCACCCUUAUUUUCUUCGCAAUUUUCUGCAUUUCCUAGGAGUAGUCUACUUGUAAUCUUUUACUUUUCUGCAUUUACAGCUUUUUUCUAGUAGUAGAACCUUAAAUAAAUCAAUCGAGUCUGUAUGCCCUCAGGCACACUCGACCCUUUGUACUUCUUCCAUAUCACGAGUUCAUUUUAAUAUAUUUAAAGGCUUUCGGCUCUUUAGGCCGAGCAAUUAUUGUGUGUUUCUUUUAUUCAGCUCAUCCACCGACUCAAGUCUUUGAGCAAUCCGUACAUUUGGCUCCUCCAGCCGAACCAAGUCCAUAGUAAAGGUUUUCGAACUCGGCUGAUUUAAUCCCUUAUCAGCCGAAUCGCUUGAUCUAGUCGAAGGGCGCAAACUUCGAGGGUCAUCGAUUGCAGCCGUUUCUGCUUCCCGACACACGCCCCGAGAAGGGUCUUGACUAGGUCAAGUGCUAGGGAAUUCGGCUCCUAACAUUUUUGGCAUGCCCGGUGUGACGCAAUUAAGGUAAAUUUAUAUUUUUAUAUAUAAAUUAUGGCCGAUGACAACGCCAUGAAUUUGCGCAAUAGGGUUGUUCCUAAAAAUUCAGGGAGCGAACAACCUAGUAAUUCUGAUAACGUUGCAGAGUGCCAAGCUGUCUUGCCUAUCGAAGGUGAGACUAGUGGUCAAUCUGACCAACAAGAGCCGAGUUUAGCUCAAGCGCUGCAUGGUUAGACGCAGUGUUGGCCGCAAUUACGGCAUCCAACGAGAAUAUUGCUCGAAUAGGGCAAUUAUUGACUCGUAACGAACAACCCAUAACAGGCUUACAAGGGCCUGUAGUGGCACUAGUGUUGCAGAAUCUUGUAACACUUGUAAAUGGUCACCCCAAUACCAGGGGGCACCAUUCCAGGCAGCUUAUAGACCGGCUGUUGCUAAUGCCGAUCAGCAACCAGAAAUAGCAUGGGGAUUACCAUCUCCUCCACCAAUAGCAGCAUAUCAACCCUAGAAUGUAGGGGUUAGAGCUGGGGGGUAGGCCCCGAAUAUACAAGGGGUUAAUCCUGUGGCACAGAAUUUUGGACUAACACAAAGACCGAAUGUAGCACAAGCGCAAGUUCCUUUACAGGGGAACAAUAAUGAAAUAUAUACACAAAUUGAAGAAGCCAUCCAAAAUACUUUCGGAGUAGGCGCAAGGCCGGCAAUGCGGCCCGUGUUUAGAUCUCCUUAUCCUGCAAAUAUAGAUGCAGAGCAUCCUUAUUCGGCAAAUCGAAAAAUGCUGAAGUUUCACAAAUUUUUCGGAGAUGAGACCGAAAACACGGUCGAACAUGUUGCACGGUUCACGGCACAGUGCCAGGAAGCCGCUCCGGACCCAUUUUUGAAACUUAGAUUAUUCAACACCCCGUUAACCAAGAUAACUUUCACUUGGUAUACGAGUCUACCUGCUAAUUCCAUCCAAUAUUGGGACGAAUUAGAAGGAAAACUUCAUGAACAGUUCUACAGAUCAGAACCAAAAUUAUCGGUAGCUGAUCUAGCUCAAUUUAAACAAAGAACAGGCGAAUCGGUUGAAGAAUAUUUAAACCGAUUCAAAACGGCCAGGAGCCGUUAUUUUGUCAGGAUGCUAGAGUCAGAAUUUGCCAAAAUGGCAUUUAACGGCUUACACUUCAAAAUAAAAGAUUAUUUUGAAGAUAAGUACUUUCCAAAUCAUUUUGAUUUGGGAGUUCGGGUUGCUCAAUAUGAGCAAUUCCGAAAAAAAAAUAAUAAGGACCGGCUCAGAUGGAGCCGAAAUAAAGAUUGGAACAAAGGAAAAGAGAAAAAUAUCUCUUUUCUUGAAGAAUCUUCGGCUCAUGAGAAGCCGAACACGUCCGAAGGAACAAAUGAAUCGGCUGAUGAAGCCGAGAUAUAUGUGGCGGAAAUGGUAAAAAGCCGCUAGCCGUAUAAAUGUGCUUUGUUAAAACUUGCUAAAUUAAAUUCAUAACAUCGAGAUUUAAGCUGUCAACUUCAUAAUAUCGAGAUUUAACCAAACUAGUUUGCCUGAUUUUGUAAAUGCAUAGUUCUUAUUAUUAGUUAACUAUAAUUGCAUGCAAUCAAAUGGCUUAUAAUUUGCAUCUGUGAGCAAACUUUGGGUUCUUCUUGCUUGACUUCUGAUAGUAAAAAAAGUCCUCGCUUGGGCAGGUGUAAAGUAGAAAAAUCUUCUGUUCUCUCAAUCCAGAUUAAAGAUGUAAUGGAUUGUAGUUUGCCAGAAUUCUAACUAUGUGCAGAAAUUGGAACCUCAGUGGAUUGUUACUGUGCGAAUGACACGAAGACCUAAUUCAUUUAGUCGAACAAGCUACUAUUUCCAGCAUUAAGAAGCUUUUUGUAAUAGGAGUAGGAUAUUUUUAUUCUAUUUUAUUAUUUUCUUGUGGCCAUCCUUUCUUUCUCGGCUUUGUGGAUUCGAAUCAUGCAAACGACCUCCCUAGAGACAACUAUAGGCUGCUCCUCCUAGACCCUACAAUGAUGGUAACCUUUUCCAUUAUGCUGCUCCGUCAUAGCCUAUGAUUUUUGUUUAUCCGUGGUAAAAUAAUGUUACAAUGAUGCUCUUAAUAGGUUUUGAUGUACUUUCUCUAGCACUUUUUUUGCUUGGAGUGGAAGCUUUGUCUGCUUAAUUCCAUGCCCAUAUGAACGUAAAUUGUCCUGACUUUAGGUGGCAUGCAACUUGGAGGUGGGAUCAAUUCGGACAAUGCCAUGACUUAUAUCAACGAAGGUGCAAGUCACGUGAUUGCUACAUCAGUAUUUGAUUUAUUUAUUUAUUUAUUUCACAAACAAUGUUUGCCUGAUUGAGCAACAGCAUAAUUAUCUUAUGUCCCUAUUUUUUUAUUGUACACAAAAUACUUCUGGUUUGUAUUUGCUCAUAUCAAUCUUUGUAAUGAUUAUAAUCAUUGUUUUGUACACUUCUCUUCUGUACUCAAUAACUUUCACAUAGCAAGUAGUUUCAUAAUUGAAAUUUUUUUCAAUAUGUAGUUGCAAGCUUAGAAGAACUUAAAAUUCCAAGGCUCUAAUGAAAGCUAAUGUAUUAAUGUUAAUCUCACAAGUCCCUCCAUUUCAAAGUGUAAAGCACAUUACUCGGGGAACACAAGUUUUCUACACAUAUUUAAUACUUUACCCGCCACUACUAUAUAGUAAGUUCAUAUGUCAAUUCAAAGCUAACCUUUUCUAUUGAGUUCAUAGUAACUAUUUAAAUAUUUGUCUUGCAGCACAUUUUCAAUAAUGGACAAAUGAACCUUGAACGGCUUAAACACCUUGUUGGUAUAAUUGGAAAGCAAAGGCUUGUCUUGGAUCUUAGUUGUAGAAAGAAGGUACGGAAAAUUUUCUUAAUUUUGUUGGUUUUACUUUUUCACCUGUUUCAUUCUCUAGCUACAUGCUAUUGACAUCUACAAUUAGACUUCUUUUUUGUGCAUACCGAGUUGAUAUCAGAUUAUGUUUCUUUUCAAUGGUAGUAUUAUUUGAUUGUAGAAUUUAUGAUUUUGGUGUAGAAUGGUAAAUACGCCAUUGUUACUGACAGAUGGCAGAAAUUCGGUGAUGUCAUUCUAGAAGAGCAAACGUUGGAAUUUCUUGCAACCUAUGCAGAUGAGUUUUUGGUUCAUGGAGUUGUUGUGGAGUGGAAAAGGUGACUUACUCUACAGUAUUUCUACUAGAUUCUUUUUGAAGCAACUCGGAGCUUUUUACUGCUCUACCUUUGGCAUACCAUUUGGUUUUUCGUAAUAUAUCGCUGGUUUCUUCUUUCACCUCUAUCACAUUGCGCAUGGUUAGCAUUUUAGUAUUCUCAUAAACUCGGUCAAAUAUAGGCUCCAACAAGAACUUAUUCGGUGACUAUUUUCUCUGUUUCUAAUUAAUGUUCUUGGUGCUACGACAUGCUAGGAAUUGAUGAGGAGCUUGUGAUCAUGCUUGGAUGCUACUCACAUGUAUGUAAUACCUUACUUUCUGUUAUUCAGUUUUCUCCACAUGUUUAUGACUUAGUUCCCCUGACCCAAGAAAGAGCUCUGGUUUUGCUAAUUUGUCACUACAGACCUUCAUUAAAGACGCUAAUUAUUGUAUACUUUCAUUUUUAAUAUUAGCUUUUGUGUUUCUAAAAUCUAGUACUUUACAGGUGUAGUGUCUUUUGGCCCAACCUCAAAUGCAACAUUGCAUCACUGAUGAACUCAACUUUACAUGGCCUUUUUAUAAAAUUAGUACUCCUAUUUUACAGUAUAUAUUAAUUUGUUUUGAGCAUGAAAGAUUUUAGCUUUGUUUGUGCUCAAUAUGAUCAGCGGAUGUCGAUAAAAAACUCCUUAUACUUAUAGCUCAAUAUUUUCACAUUGUAGAUUCCGAUAACUUAUGCUAGUGGAGUCUCAACAAUGGAAAGGGCCGCGUUGAUAUUACAGUUGGAAGUUCUCUCAAUAUAUUUGGGGGCAAUCUACCAUACGAGGAUGUCGUCGCUUGGCAUAACAACCAAUAGCUUAUGGUUACCUAGUAACCCUAAAGAAGUCGGCAAUUACGUUCAAUUGAAUCAACUGACACAAAAUUUUGAACUCGUGCUUCAAAUUCGUUCUGCAACAUUUUCUACAAACUACUUUUGCUAUAUAUAUAUAUCUAAUGCUUUAAUGUUAAGAAACUUGAAACUUAUCCCGAGGCAGCGGCAUCUCUGAUGUAAUUCCAUGUGUAUCUGUCUUAUUUGUAUAACCAGUAGGAAUAAUGUCUGUUGUAUUUUGUAAGGAGGAACAUAUUAAUAGACAUUUUGUAGAACCUAUUCCAGUUUUAGUGAGAAAGUUUUUGAUAUUUUUGAGGACAAGCAAGACCUUGAUAUUCAUGUAAUCUUAUUUCUUCUAAUUUAUUGUUAAUAUAUCUUAAAUGCGAAAUUGUUGCUUUUCACUGCCUUUGAAGCAUUUAAAGUUUGUUUCAGAAUUUGCAGAUUGUGUGUGCUGUACUUUUGAUGGUUUUGAUUGAAAUAUUGCUAUUCCAUUUUUGUUUUCGGAAUUGAUGUAAAUGAACCUGGGUUGUUGUUGUUGUUGUUGUUGUUGUUGUUGUUGUUGUUUUCUUUUUUUUUGGGUAAACUUAAAAACCAUCCCUGUGGUUUUGCACUUUCUCACUUUAGUACUAUGUGGAUUAAAGUGUAUCGCCAGCUAGUGUCAUGUGGUUUCAUUUUUAUCUUUUCGUCAGCUUCUUCGUUAAUAUUUCAUUAAAUUGUAUACAAAAAAAACUUUAGAUAUCCACCUAGGUUUAUCGAAUAUUCACUUUAGUACCCUUUAGUUUUAACUUCGUCACUAAUUUAACAAAAAAAAUUAGUGGAAUUGAUAAUAAAAAGAUACAAAUAAAAUCAUAGGACACUAAAUUGAUACACUUUAAACCAUAGGAUACUAAAAUGAAAAAGUGUGAAACCACAUGGGUGGUAUUUGAAGUUUUUUUCUUUUUUGGUUAAUUGCAUACACGUCCCUACAAACAUGGUGAAUUACAAAUAUAUCCCUGCAAAGCUCAAAUUUCAUAAGUUGUCCUUGCAAAAGUCCUAAUUUAUUCAGAUAUAUCCCUCUGGUUAGGAUCCGUUAGAAAACUGUUAAUUUUUUAACAGUAUACUCGUGAAAUGAUAAUUUUGCCCUCACAAAUAUGUCCCUCCAAAAGCACAUUUGCAGAAGUGUGCUCUUAAUUUUUGCCCUCUUCCUCUUUCUCUUCCUCUUCGGGUUGCGGGAGUGGACGGCGGCGGUGGCGGAUCAUCGACGAUGACAACAAAGAAGAAAAACGAGGAGAAGAGGAGGAUACGAAGAAGAAGAAGAAGAAGAAGGCGGUGGAGGCCGUUGUCGGCCGGCGGCGCCACUGGGGAUGGCCCACGGGAGCACCGCCCAAUCUCCCACGAGGAGGAGGUUGGUGUUGGCGGCGAGUUGCUUGAGGGCGUCGGAGGCGGCGGCGAGGUCGCUCUGCGUGCGGAGCUUCCCUGUGGGGAGGUCGGGGGAGCGGCACUGCUCCACGAUGGCAAGGGCUAGCACUAGGGUUUCCUGGAGGGACCGGAGGAGCUCACAGGCGAGGGGGUUUGCGGCGAGGUUGGAGAGGCCACCGAUGGUGGAGGAGAGGCGGGAGGCGGCUGCGGCGACGGCGCACCACCGGCCGUGGAAGCAUCACGCGGCGGCAGCAGGAAGGUACGGCGGAGAGGAGGCGGCGGAGGUCGCCGUCAGCGGCUUUCUCCGCGACCGCGGCUCCUCCUUCUCUGUCGCGAUCGCCCGCCGCAUCUCCUCCCUCGCCGGCAACGAAGAAGAGGGAAGCGAAAGAGGGAGAGGAAGAAGAGGGGGUAAAAUUGUCAAUUCAACUUAUUAAUUAACCAUGGUUAAGUAUUUUAACUGUGGUUAACGAAAUUUCNUAUAUAUAUAUAUAUAUCUAAUGCUUUAAUGUUAAGAAACUUGAAACUUAUCCCGAGGCGGCGAUAUCUCUGAUGUAAUUUCAUGUGUACCUGUCUUAUUUGUAUAAUCAGUAGGAAUAGUGUCUGUUGUAUUUUGUAAGGAGGAACAUAUUAAUAGACAUUUUGCAUAACCUAUUCUAGUUUUAGUAAGAAAGUUUUUGAUAUUUUUGAGGACAAACAAGACCUUGAUAUUCAUGUAAUCUUAUUUCUUCUAAUUUAUUGCUACUAUAUCUUAAAUGCGAAAUUGUUGCUUUUCACUGUCUUUGAAGCAUUUAAAGUUGUUUUAGAAUUUGCAGAUUGUGUGUGCUGUACUUUUGAUGGUUUUGAUUGAAAUAUUGCUUUUCCAUUUUUGUUUUCGGAAUUGAUGUAAAUGAACCUGGGUUGUUGUUGUUGUUGCUGUUUUCUUUUUUUUGGGUAAACUUAAAAACCAUCCCUGUGGUUUUGCAUUUUCUCACUUUAGUACUAUGUGGUUUAAAGUGUAUCAAGCUAGUGCCAUGUGGUUUCAUUUUUAUCUUUUCGUCAGCUUCUUCAUUAAUAUUUCGUUAAAUUGUAUACCAAAAACUUUAGAUAUCCACCGAGGUUUAUCGAAUAUUCACUUUAGUACCUUUUAGUUUUAACUUUGUCACUGAUUUAACAAAAAAAUUAGUGGAAAUUGAUAAUAAAAAGAUACAAAUAAAACCAUAGGAUACUAAAUUGAUACACUUUAAACCAUAGGAUACUAAAAUGAGAAAGUGUGAAACCACAGGGGUGGUAUUUGAAGUUUUUUUUCUUUUUGGUUAAUUGCAUACACGUCCCUGCAAACAUGGUGAAUUACAAAUAUAUCCCUGCAAAGCUCAACUUUCAUAAGUUGUCCUUAUAAAAGUCCGAAUUAUUCAGAUAUGUCCCUUUGGUUAGGAUCCGUUAGAGAACUGUUAAUUUUUUAACAAUAUGCUCGUGAAAUGACAAUUUUGCCUUCACAAAUAUGUCCCUCCAAAAGCACAUUUGCAAAAAUGUCCUCUCAAUUUUUACCCUCUUCCUCUUUCUCUUCCUCUUCGGGCUGUGGGAGUGGACGACAGUGGUGGCGGAUCGACGACGACGACAAAGAAGAAGAACGAGGAGAAGAGAAGGAUAUGAAAAAGUAAAAGAAGAAGGCGGUGGAGGCCGUUGUCAGCCGGCGGCGUCACCGGGGAUGGCCCACGGGAGUACCGCCCGAUCUCCCACGAGGAGGAGGUUGGCGUCGGCGGUGAACUGCUUGAGGGCGUCGGAGGCGGCGACGAGGUCGCUCUGUGUGCGGAGCUUCCCCGUGGGGAGGUUGGGGGAGCGGCACUGCUCCAUGAUGGCAAGGGCUAGCACUAGGGUUUCCCGGAGGGACCGAAGGAGCUCGGAGGCGAGGGGGUUUGCGGCGAGGUUGGAGAGGUCACCGAUGGCGGAGGAGAGGCGGGAGGCGUCUGCGGCGAUGGCGCACCACCGGCCGUGGAAGCAUCGCGCGGCGGCGGCGGGAAGAUACGGCGGAAAGGAGGCGGCGUAGGUCAGCAUCGGCGGCUUCCUCGGCGACCACGGCUCCUCCUUCUCCGUCACGAUCGCCCGCCACAUCUUCUCCCUCACCGGCAACGAAGAAGAGGGAAGCGGAAGAGGGAGAGGAAGAAGAAGAGGUAAUAUUGUCAAUUCAACUUAUUAAUUAACCAUGGUUAAGUAUUUUAACUGUGGUUAACGAAAUUUUCUAACGGAAACUAACGGUAUGGAUAUAUCUGAAUAUAUUAGGACUUUUACAGAGAUAACUUAUGAAAGUUGAGCUUUGCAGGAAUAUAUCUGCAAUUCACUAUAUUUGCAGGGACGUGUAUGCAAUUAACCCUUUUCUUUUUUUUUAGGAAGUUCAUCUAAUCACAUUGGAUUCGUAUAAAAAUAAUGAUAAUAAUAAGUUACAUACCCAAUCAAAAAAAAAAUUGUAUUAAAAGAGCAGAAAAUGGAUAGGAUUUAGAUCUCAAACGUUCAAGAAUUAGGUGACACGUGUCACUCACAUACAGGCGCCAAAUCACAAAUCGUCCUACUCUACACUAUCGCAUUCUGUUGACAUGUGGCAUCGAUCUAGGCGUCGGACUAAAACUUGUCUCACCACCAUAACAUGUUGCCGUGAAUAAGAAGUCGACUUAUUUUGUAAUUUUGCACUCACCCUCCUCACAAAUUCACAAUUCACCUCUCAGGUUGAAUUUUUUUAUAAAUAAUCCUAUCAAUUUUUAUAAUUGUAAAAAUAGUUUUUUUAAAAAAAAUAAUUAUAAAAAUAGACCUCUAAAAUGCGGUGAAUGAUUCACCGCAUUCAUAACUCCUUUAUAGGAGUAGAAAAAGAAUAAAAGGUUCACCGUUUUUACCAUCGUAGAAAUAUAGAAAGAAGUAAAAAAAGAAAGAAAGCGGUGAAACCAUUCACCGUUUUUAUAGUACUAUAUUUAUAAAUAAAAAUUUAACAGAUAUAUUUUUAGAAUAAAAUUUUAGGAGAAAUGUAAUGUCCCGGAUGGGUUGAGGGUGAUUUGGGGGUGAGUUUGAAAAAGAGAAGGAGAGGUACGUAGAGAGACAGAGGGAGAUAAGGAGGAGUGAGAUCAUUAGGAGGAAGAGAGUAGGGUUUAAAAAAAAAUAGAGGAGAGUGGGAAGAGAUGAGAGGGGGAAGGAGAAGAUUAGAGAAAUAGUGGAGAAGAAGAGGAUAAUUGGGGGAAGAAAAGCUAAUUCAUUUCAUUCUCCUCCUGUUUACAUCUUUAGUUGAUAUUUAUACCUCUACUAAUGCAUACUGAAAUGUAAAAUUAACUUGCUAAGAGGGCUACAUUGCAAAAGUGAAAAAUAGGAGUAUAGGCUGGUGUAACUGGGCUUUGGUUUGGGCCAUCCCGGUCCAGUAGACUGGUUAUCGGGAAAACGGGCAUCGGUUCCACUCUUCUCCGCACUAUCCGCGAACCCGGCGGGUCUUGGGUCCGCCCUUUUGCCUCCGCUCCAGAAGACUGCUGCUUCGACCCGCUGCGCCUCCUUCCCCCACUACUAUUUCUUCAGGGUUGUUACAAGAAACUAUUUCACUAAAAAACCCUCUCAGCUUUCUUCAGCAACAAGGCGCACGGCUGAAUCACUAUUACCACUCGAGGCUGUAGAGGGAUCGCCGCUUUCGCUACCUCCCCUCGACCUCGCCAUGGCUCCGGAGGCCGAAGACGAGUUGAACGAGAAGAACCCGCGCCCCCUCGACGAAGACGACAUCGCCCUCCUCAAAACCUACGUACGCAUCCCCUAAUCUCCUCGCUUCUUUGGUUCGCCUCGAUUUAGGGCUAGGUUAGGUUACUUUGUUUGUGCAUCAGAUUCCGCCAGAGUGUGGUGAUUUAUUAAUACCUUUGUUGUUUGGAUCGAUUGUAUAAUAAGGGUUUGUGUGGAAACUAUUUGAUGUUCCUCUUAUUUUGUUUAAGUGCAUUUAUGGUGAUAAAAUGAGAAUUGUGUGAUAUGGCAGGGUCUGGGACCUUAUUCUGAGAGCAUAAAGAAGGCAGAGAAGGAGAUUAAGGAGAUGGUGAAGAAGAUCAAUGAUCUAUGUGGUAAGUAGUGUGUUAAUAUCAUCAUAUGCCUAAAUAUGUGUACAUACAAAGAAAUGGAUGUAUAAAUAUGUAAACUGGAGCUUGUUUUGCUUAUUUUUUUCUUGUAAUGAAAUAAUGCGACUCUACUUUCUCAAGUGAUAAGUAAAGAAUGAUUCUUUUGAAAGUUUUGUGUACUUAAGCAGCUGAUGCAUAUUAUUGAUGUUUUAAGUUAUAGUUCCAUAAAGAAUUGAGUUUAUGUUAUUAUAGUCCAAUUCUAUUAUGUAGCAAAAUCAAGCAUACAAUGGACAUUACGAAUGGAUACAUAGUAAGAUGCUUGAAAUAGAUAUGUGCUUUUUAAGGUGGUGUCUUUUGUUGCUGGAUUCAGUUGUCGUUACUCAUGAAGAGCUAAUUUAGAUAUAAAAUGCUUUCUUUGUUUUCUUUAGAUUUCUGAAAGAGUAUUUGGAAUAAGUUGAUUCCACAGCUUAUUUAAACUAGCAUAAUGUAGUGAUAGGUAGUUUUUGUUAUCAAAUUAUGUUGCUAUUAUAUUCUUGGAACCUUUGAGACAUUUUUUGUUAUGAAAUGCCAGGAAUCAAAGAGUCAGACACUGGUUUAGCUGCACCUAGCCAGUGGGAUUUAGUUUCUGACAAGCAAAUGAUGCAAGAGGAACAACCUCUGCAGGUAUUUUUGUCUCAAAUUUGCAUGAAUUUUAGGUAUUCUUGCUUGUUUUAUUCUGUGAUAUCUGGGAGUUUAUUAGUGAACUUGUUUUACAUCUUACAUAUGUUUGGUGUCUGACUAGAUUGUUGUUUCAUCAAAAGGUUGCUAGGUGUACGAAGAUUAUUAGCCCGAACACAGAAGAUGCUAAAUAUGUGAUAAAUGUUAAGCAAAUUGCCAAGGUAUACUUUUUGAGCAUGUAAUGCUCUUCCUACUAUAUUUACUUCUCUGGACAAAUGGACAACAACAUGGACAUCCCAAGUUCCAACUUAAAUUUUCUCUUUCUUCUAUUGGACUUGUGCAGUUUGUGGUCGGGUUGGGUGACAAAGUCUCUCCAACUGAUAUUGAAGAAGGCAUGCGAGUUGGGUAACGCCACAAUACCAUUCACUUGAUUAGUUGUCUCAAUUUCUUUUCUGUGACUGCUUCAUUUGAGGUGUGUUAGUAUUUCUAACUGUCUAGUGUGCCGUUAUUGCUGUUUUCAUUAUAAUAGCACUAAUAGUCCUUCUCACCCCCUCUCCCUUUCCCCUACCCACCCUAAAGCUAGUGUCUCAUAUAAGAGUUAAAAAAAAUAGAGAACAAUAAUUUAUUAGUGCAAGAUUAUUUCUAAAGCAACUAAUUGGCAAAACAGACUUGAGUUACAUAAUCACAGUGAUGGAUGGCCUUGGCACCUAGUUGCUGGUUGUGACAACAUACUAUCUACAAGGAAUUAUACAUCUAUCUCCUUGGUACUGUCUUUUGAGUCCUUUAAUCUGGUAUUUGCAUGAGCAUUAUAAUACUUGUAGGCCGUCAAAGCUCCUGUGACAUACAUAAUAACUACAGAGUUGGAUGUCGGAAUCAAUCUUACCUGGACUGUAUGUUCUGUUGUGCAACUGACAAUAUUCAGUUUAGAUGACCUUACAUUAUAUCGCAUCAAACCAUCUGCAGCGCUUCAACACUUCUUGUAUCUAUAAGCAUUUGUGGCAUGGUGCAGUUAGUUAUGUGCAAAGUUGUAAUCAAUAAUUUUACUAGGACUGAGACUUUUAUUGAGAAUCUCAAUCGGUGUUGGUUGGACAUCAUUGUUUGAUCUAAUAAUCUUUCGUUUGCAGAGUUGAUCGAAAUAAGUAUCAAAUCCAGAUUCCUUUGCCACCAAAAAUUGAUCCAAGUGUUACGAUGAUGACGGUGGAGGAGAAGCCUGAUGUUACAUAUAACGAUGUUGGUGGCUGUAAGGAGCAGAUUGAAAAGAUGCGAGAGGUAUGCCUUUUUUUGUGAUUGAAAAAUAUCAUGUUAUUGCUCAUUCAGGUUUUACAGUAGUGUAAAUUGAUUAUACAUAUAGCGGGUACCUGCAAGUUGGUCAAUGACUGCAUCAUUUUCGUUUUCUUUUAUUAUUCUUCCUCAGGUUGUGGAGCUUCCAAUGCUUCAUCCAGAGAAAUUUGUGAAGCUUGGAAUUGAUCCUCCGAAAGGUGUCCUUUGUUAUGGUCCUCCUGGAACAGGAAAAACUCUCCUUGCUAGAGCUGUGGCCAACAGAACUGAUGCCUGCUUUAUUCGUGUCAUUGGAAGCGAGCUGGUUCAAAAGUAUGUUGGAGAGGGAGCUCGGAUGGUCCGCGAACUUUUCCAGGUUGUUUGGUUUCCGGCGAUUCAAUGGCAAACUUAUUUGAUUAUUGUUCUUGGAUUUCCUUACUGUCGUAGUUAUUUUCAUUGUUUGUCUAACAAGUAGUCUUGUCAUUUAGAUGGCCCGUUCAAAGAAGGCAUGCAUUGUCUUUUUUGAUGAAGUUGAUGCUAUUGGUGGUGCCCGUUUUGAUGAUGGCGUUGGUGGGGACAAUGAAGUUCAACGUACUAUGCUUGAAAUCGUCAAUCAGCUUGAUGGUUUUGAUGCUAGAGGAAACAUCAAAGUUCUAAUGGCAACCAAUAGGUUCGACAGCUUGAUGUUUUCUAGUUUAUAGCUGUACUUCAAGUCAACUCUUAACCAUGCCCUUAGAACAUAUGAAUUCAUCUUCCUCUCUUUCCAAACUUUUCAGGCCUGAUACUUUGGACCCGGCUUUACUCCGUCCGGGAAGAUUGGAUCGUAAGGUUGAGUUUGGUCUGCCAGACUUGGAAGGUCGCACACAGAUAUUCAAGAUCCACACAAAAACAAUGAAUUGCGAAAGGGACAUCAGAUUUGAGCUUCUUGCUCGCCUCUGCCCCAACUCCACUGGUGAGCAUUUACUGAAGUGUUUCUUUACCUCAUUUCAAUAGUAUAAGUGGUUUGUCUUGAUAAUACUCUAUCUAACAAUUAAGCAAAAUUGAACAGAUCUUACCUACCUGAACUUAAAGUUGUUAAUUUACUAUCUAAACUUAUAGUUCUUUUGUACCUCUUGUUCAAAACUUGGUGAUAUUUGCAACUUCUUUGACAGGGGUAUUUUAUAAUCUAAUGGGUUAAUUUCUUACUUGAUAAAAUAUUCUAUAACCAAUUUGACAGAAUCCUUUUUAAGUUUUGACAAAAUCAGGUAGAAUUUUCUGAAGUCGAAAAGUUCUUUGAUAGAGGCACCUAUUUUAAAAUGUUCUAUAAUUGAUGUAGCUCUAUACUUUUUUAUUUUACAAGUUACUAUGCUCCGAUACACUUUUUUUUCUCCUUUUCUUUAAAAGUAAAAAAAAGUAAAAGCCAGUCUGAAUGCUUGGAACUUAGAUGCUUGGUGUCAUAUGUUUUCUACAGUCUAUUUUACUUGGACAAACAUCAAAAUUGCUCUAUUUGUUCUUCAUAAGUUUCUAACUAGUUCCUGUAUUUCUUUAUAUUAGGGGCGGACAUAAGGAGUGUGUGCACCGAAGCUGGGAUGUAUGCGAUCCGGGCACGCAGGAAGACGGUAACAGAAAAGGACUUUCUUGAUGCAGUGAAUAAGGUUAUUAAGGGUUAUCAGAAGUUCAGCGCAACGCCCAAAUACAUGGUCUACAACUAGCAGCACUGCUCCUGUUACUCUUAUCUCGGAAGGAAAUAUCACCGUAGUGUUGGCAUAUGAUUUUCUACCUGGUAAUAUACAUCUUUGUACAAGCAGGAUCCCUAAUUCCCAGUGACCAAUGCCUUCUCUUUUCUCAUCCAUAGAUUUAGACUAUGGUGUGCUUGAGCAAAAGGUAGUGGCUCUUUUCAGAAAUUAGAUGAUGCUUUAUCUUGAUGAAAGAUCCCAGUAUUAGCCAUGGUUUAUGUUUUCUUGUGUGUUUGUUUGUGUUUAUGUCAGAAAGAUGAUAGCACGCCAAUUGAUCUGUUAGUUAUUUUUAUUUCUACGUUACUUCUGUAGAAUUCAGGCGGUGGUCAGCUGGUUGCAAGUUAAACGAAUGGUUAUCGAGAAACAUUUCUCGUUACUAGCUUUUAUUCUAUCCUGAGGAACUGAAUUAUAUUUGUCUCACUAUUUGUGUUUCUAAGCUCAAAUUUACAUGCAUCACCUAACAGUCCUAGCUCAGCUAUUGAAAACUGUUUCCUUUUUUGUUUGUCAACUAAUUUUGAUUGUCAUGCCCUAGGCUAUGGGUUUUUUGUUUUCUCUGUUUGCUGUUUAAUUUAUCACGCGCUUGUAAUUUUCAAGAGGCAUAUUUGAUUUGUCCGUCGUAGAUGCAUGAAUGAAGGUGUUGUUUAUGAGAAUUUAUGCCAUAUAUAGGUGAAAAGAAAUCCACAUGUUUAUUUUAGUUGCAGUAUUCGGCAAUUAUGUUCUUGUUGUAGCAGCAACUUCUAUUUUAGAAGCUAAUUUAUUUAUUAGCUUUUCGAUGCAGCACAAGUAUCAGACUUACUAUUUGAGUCCACCAGUGUUAAUUACCUCACAUUAAGUUCCUUUUCUACUCGAGGCUUUUAGAAAGAAACCGUGUUAGAUGUCGCCUUAGUAGUGAGAGUAGUACAAGUCUAUUGUUAAUUAUAUUCAAGUCUUCGGCUUUAGUCUACUAACUUGUUUUUUCUGCUUGCUUUUAGAGACCCAAGUAGGAAAUCACGCACGGCAAGUAUGAAUUAAGCGGGAAGAUGACUAAUCCUUCUUCAUACACAAAGAAAUUGUAGCUUCAACCUUGUCCAGGUUAGUUCUAGAAUAUUUUUUAAUACAAUUAAUAUAUAUAUAUAUUAAUUUGGUGGAUAAUACAGUAUUCUGAGUCAUUAUUCAUUCCCUUCUGGUUUAAGAGGUUCUGAGCUUGGUUCAUGCAUCUUUCCUGUUAGUUAAGGAUAUAUAGUUCAGCUUACAUAACAUCUAGGCUAAUUCAGUUUUGAAGAAAUGAUUUUUGUAGUUCCAUUGAAAAGCACGUAAGCAUAUUUUCACAUUUGAUCUGUUUGCCUUCGAUCACACUGAAAGCUGAAUCCGUCUUGUAGGUACUACAGCACAAAAUUUAUCUUAUUAUUCCCUUCCAACUCUCCCAAAAUUUAUCUUACUGAUCUGAGAUGCGUAUGAAUACUGCAUACUUUUCCAUGUUCAGCCUUUUGAUCUACAAUAGUAUCACCGCAAAUAUUGCUUUUACUAACUACUGCAUUUUAAAUAAUAUAUUUGUAUUCGGGUAAAUUUUAAAUAUCAUCUCUGUAGUUUUGCACUUUCUCAUUUUAGUAUCAUAUGGUUUAAAGUGUAUCAAGUUAGUGUCCCGUAAUUUUAUUUUUCUCUUUUCGUCAGUUCCUCUGUUAAUAUUUCGUUAAAUUAUAUACAAAAAGUUUAGAUACUCCACCUAGCUUUAUCGAUAUUCACUUUAGUAUCCUUUAGUUUUAAUUUUGUUACUAGUUUAACAAAAAAAAAUUAGUGAAAUAAAUAAUAAAAAGAGAAAAAUGAAAUCAUAUGAUACUAACUUGAUACACUUUAAACUACAGGAUACUAAGUAAAAAAAAAACGAAAUUACAGGGUGAUAUUUGAAGUUUUUUUUUUUAUAUUUAUCUGCAUGUGAAUAUAUGAUGUAUCUCUCUCUCUCUCUCUCUCUUUGAGUCAAUUUAAUAUUCUGACCCAUGCUUUGAAGCGGGCAAAAAUUGUGUGGAUAUAGUGUCCACAUUAACAUUUUUGGGGACACUCCGAAUAGGCACCACGUGGCUCGCAAGCAUUCAUCUCACCAUUCCUUUUUUUUUAAAAAAAUAUGAUUUUUUAGAGAGAGAAAGAAGUAGAGGAAGGGACGGUGGGAUGGAUGCCUGCGAACCACGUGGUGCCCAUCGAGAGUGUCCCCAAAGAUGCUAAUUUGGACACUAUGUCCAUGCAAUUUUUGCCCACAAAACACUCUCGCACAAAGUAGUGAGGAGCCCAGACAUUAUUUUAUGUCCUUUUCCUUAUUUACCCUUUACUAUUGUUCAAAAUUUUUAAAUUUAUUUUAAAAUUAUAUAUGUGAGACCUUAUAUAGUUCUAUAUAUAAGAUAUAAUAGAGCUAAACUUCUUAACCUGAUUAUAGUAUUUUAGACGAUGAUUAGGUCCAAAAAAUUAAAAGAGUUAGGCAUGCUAGAGUUAGAGUAGUCAUAGAAUAGGUGGUCCCUCAGAAGUGGGGCAUUAUAAUUAAUAUCAGAGCUAGUUAUCAGUCGAAAAUGUAAUUUGAGUCUCGGCUGAGUCAGAAUUAUACUGAAAGUGUGAGAUGAGUCUUGGCUGAGUCAAAAUUAUACUAAAAAUGUGAGUUGAGUUUCAUUUGAAUCAGAAUUAUAAAGCGGGAAGAGUGAGCCUCUCAUGUUAAUAACUAUUGUGGAUAGAGCGCGGCUCUACCACAAGGUCGGUUAAGGCUAACGAGACGAGUCUUACAGAGACACGAGCUCGGUUAAGACUAGCGAGACAAGUCUCAUAUCGCAUGAUACUUAUUAGUCUAAACUUGACAAGAAUGUCAGGAUUUACAACGGGAGAGAAUGUGAUAUCUCAGAUAGUUGUACAUAUAAGAUAUAAUAGGAUUAAAACUUUUAAUCCGAUUAUAAUAUUUUGGACAGUGGCUAAACCUAAAAGGUUAAAAAAAUUAAGCGUGUAAGAGAUACAGUAGGCCUAAGAUAGAUGACCCUCAGAAGUGGGCUUCACAAUCAAAAUAUUUUUUAAACUCUAAAUUUUAUUUGCAAAGUCUAGAGGUUUGAAAAUAUUUGAAGGGAUGUUUGAAAAUUAUUGAGGCGAAAUAUUAUCUUUUACUAGUGCUGUUAAAAAAUUGAUAGAUAAUCUAUUUGGUUUGUGUGUUUGGGGUGUUAACUAAAUUUUUUUGUCAGUUUUUUACUUGAUCAAUUUUAUAAAUAAUAUAGUACUUGAGUUAAUUUUAAAUACUUCUAUUAUAAUGCAAGGUUUUGAGUUCCAAUCCUCUUCGUUGACAAAUUAAUGAGAAGGUAAAUUUGUCAGCCACAUAUACUUAAAACUUAUUUAGAAGUACAUAUAUUGGAAUCAACUAUAGUGGAUAUUUGGCCUAACUUUUGAAAAGGGAUUUUGUGUUCAGAAGUGAUUUUCGACUGAAUAGAGCAUUUGGUAAUCUUAUUUUUAAAAAUUGAUUUUGAUUUUUACAAUCAGUUUUUUAAUUUUCGAAACCCAAAAUCAGAAGCAGCUAAAACUUGCUUCUUGAAAUCUGAUUCUGAUUUUGAACUCAAAAUUUUAAAUUUUUAUUUGGAUUUUACAUUCAAAUUUUAAAUUUUAAUUUCGACUUUUAAAUAAUUUAUUUUUAUUUAUUUAUACAAUAUAUAAAAUAUUUAAUAAUUUAUAUAAAACUCGACGGGUUCGGGUCCAAAUCCGAUCCGUUGACAUCCCUAAAAGAGAAGAAAAGAAAUAUAUAAAUAUGAAACAUAGUGAAUCAUUCACCGUGUUUGACUUGGCAACCAACCUCUCGACCCGCCCACGUGGCGCUUGCGUGGUGCCUGCGUGGCAGAAGUAGGGUCAUUUUUGUAAUUAUAAAUUUGGUGGGGCUAGUUUUAAAAUAAAAUUUUUUGGGGAGGCCAUUUGCAUAAAAAGUUCUUAAUUGAAGGGUUAAAUGCAUACAAGUUCCUACAAAUAUAGUAAAUUACAAAUGCAUACUUAUAAAGUUCAACUUUCAUAUGUUGUUCUUAUAAAAGUUCUAAUAUUUUCAAAUAUAUCCCGCUGGUUUGUUACCGUUUUAAACUGUUUAUAUUUUAAGUGAAAUGUCAAUUUUGUCAUCACAAAUAUGUCUCUCCAAAAGCCGCAACAGUAUAUUAUAAGAGGGGCAAAAAUACCAAGUUAUCUCAUAAACUAAUUAGGGUUAAGUAUUUAAUUUAUGGUUAACUAAAGUUUUCUAACGAAUUCUAACGGCAAAGACAUAUUUAAAAAUAUUAGAACUUUUGUCUGGACAAUACAUGAAAGUUGAACUUUGUAAGGAUAUAUUUGUAAUUUACUAUAUUUGUAGGGACCUGUAUGAAAUUAACUAAUUGAAGAUUGUAGAACGUUUAGCUGAAUCUAAUAGCAAAGCAAGCUUAAAAAAUAUUAUUUUAGAAAGUUCUUUAACAACUUUUUCUUUAUUAAUUAUAUUAAUAUUUUUUAUAAACUAAUCAGGGUUCAGUGUAUUUAUACUUUAUCAUUUUGUAUUUGAAAUUUCUAAUAUAUUUAUACUUUGCCAUUCUAUAUUGGAAAAGUACUCUCAUGUUAUAUAAUUUAUCUUAUAUUUUACUGUAAGAAUUUAUUAUUUGAUAGAAUAGUAAAAUACUAUUAUUUACAAAUGAUGCUUUUUUUUUUCUUUUCUUUUUUUUUUUUUUUUGAGGGAAACACGCCCUAAGGCGAAUUUAUUUAUCAAUCGGGCGGUACAAUGUGAUGGAAUUCAUCUACAGAGGACCAAAAAGAGAGUUUGUUGCUAAUAAGCCCCCAGUUGGCCAAUCAAUCUGCAACUACAACAUUUUUAGAAUAUCUUGACGACCAUCCAUAAUUAAAUUGUUUGGAACUUUCCAGAAAAGUCCGAAGAUCCGUGAUUCUUGUUCGAGCUUCAUCUGUUAACGAAGCUGAAUGAUAGCUCCUAAGGUGCAAGGCUUUGAUGAUGGGUGCUGAAUUUGAGUAGAUAUGGAAAGUUUCUUCUGGAUACCUUUGUAACAAAAGAUUUGUCGCUCGGGAGAUUGCUUCAAUUUCCGCAGAGCAAGCGUCAUGGACAUCCUUCAGUACGUCGGAUAUGCACAUAAUGAUUCCAUGCAAAUUGGCGAUUAGGCAUCCUACUCCACCUACAGUGCCACCUUUCCAACUCCCAUCCACCCAUACAUAUAAGGAGGAUGUCGCAGGUUCCUGAAUCAGAUUCGGGUCCUGAAUGCUAAUCCUCGUCAUGUUCUCUUUAGAAUAUAAGGUUGUUCAGCUACGAGCCCGUGAAAUGAUGGUAGUAAAACUGAAAAUUUUUCCUUCAAAUAUCAUCUCAUUCCUUCCUUUCCAUAAGUUCCAUAACAGAUGAAUACAGAAAGCCCUAUGAGUCGUCAUAGCUUUAUUAGUUAGCAUAAAGAAAAUCUAAAAGGACAGAGGUCUAUCCGCAUUUACAAAUGAUGCUAAAGUGUUAAAUUUUGUAACCAGAUAGUCUAAGUCACAGAAACGCGGCUGACACUUGACGGAGCGACUCUUGAAAUUAAAAUAAAAUAUAAAAAAAGAAUCGAAGAGGACUCGUACGACCGGCGCAAAGCCGUCUCAGAAUAGGGUUGUCUGCACCUGGUGUAUAUAUAGUAGUUGAGUUAGUAUACUAUUGAUAGAAUAUAAAGUAUUUUAUUAUUAUUAUUAUCUUUUGAAGAGAAAGGUAGCAUACUAUUCCGGUUUUUUUUUUUUUUUUUUUAAUGAACUUAGAAAGAAAUGUGAAAUAGCUAAACUUCGAACUUGAGAUCCUGCAUACCAACUAUCAAGUAACCAAGACAAAAAUCUUACUUCGACAUGUCAAGGCUCGUACUUGUGCCAUACGUGUGUUUAAAUAAGGACAUAACUUUUAUUUUCUCCCAAGCAACUAGCUUGAGAAUGAAGGAACAUAUAAAUACCAACAAUGCACUUUAAAAUUGUACUUUUCAUUUCCAACAUACAAUAUGUUGAAAUGAAUUCUAUUUAUUUGCCAUACCAUCAUAUGUAACUUAUUCAUUUUAACUCGUAAAGCCACGAUACCUAUUUUUAUUUUUAUUUUAUUUUUUUAAUAAAGGUGUCCAUAGGGUUUGUAAAAUAUAAAUAUUGAUUAGUCCUCAGAUAAAAGUCUAUUCUUUGUAAGGGAAAAAAAAAACUUUGGGGAAAAUUUUUUGGAAUCUCUCUUAGCCAUAUAAUUGUGCAUCAAUUAACCAUAGUUAUUCAAAACAGAUCUAGUAUAUGAUAUAAUUGUGAUAAUUCAAAUUUAAGUUAAGAUUAAUCCCGAAUCAUGUCGUAGAAUAAAGUUAUAACUAAUUAUUAAGUUAGUCACUCCGCAUAAUUAAGAACAAACUUAUACUCCUCUUUUGAUAGAAAAUUUUUUCAGAAUUAGUGGAAGAUAUCUUUUGAUAGAAUUUUUUUUUCAGAAUUAACGGAAGAAAUUAAUCAGAAUUCGAUGCAUAUUCCAACUACUCUCUUCUUCUUCUUCUUCUUUUUUUUCUUUCGGAUAAAUAUAAAUAAAGUAGAAUUGGCCCGAUAAUGUUAUCUAUAUCUAUAUUAAUCCAUAUUCAAAUUCAAUUCAAUUACUAGUAAAUGAAUCAUAUAUUAUAUGUUCUAAUAGGCUAAAUUACAGAAAACCUCCCUAUAAUAACCCGUUUUUUUACUUUUCCUCCCUGACAUUUAAAAAUCUACACUUUACCCCCUGUAAAAUGAAAAAUAUUCACAGGGAGGUUACAGUGUGUAAAAUGACCAUUUUGCCCCUCGCCAUUGUCAUCUUCUUCCCAUCUUCUUCAGCCGCCCCUUCGUUCGGCCGCGAUUCCCACCUCAAUCGGCCGCGAUUUCUCUCCAUUUUCUUCUCCACCUGCUCCCCUUCUCCUCCUGCACUCUCGCCGCCCUCGAUUUCGGCGACAGUAGGAGAAAACCGAGAUGAGCGACAGUAGGAGAAGGGCAAAGAAGGCGAAGACGAGGCGACGGAGGACGGCGAAGGGGAUGUGGGUGAGGGCGAGGCAGUGGAGGACGGCGAGGCGGCUAGACGGCGAGGUGGCGAGGCGGAGGGAGUCGAAGCAACAGGGAGAUGGCGGAGGAGUAUUUUCGGCAUAAAAAUAUAUUUUUUAACGGAAUCCUGACGGAACCCUAACGAUAAAGGAUGAAGUGCAUAUUUUUUAUUUUACAGGGGGACAAACUGUAGGUUUUUAAAUGUUAGGGAAGGAAAGUAAAAAAGCGGGUUAUUACAAGGAAGUUUUCUGUAAUUUAGCCAUUCUAAUAUUAUAAAUACUAUGUGAAGUAGUGGUUUAUUAAAACCAUCAAUAUAUUUUUUAAAUUAAUUUGUCUAUGAGAAAAGGUCAAGAGAGAGACUUUGAUUCUCGUUUCAACAAUUAUGAUGAUAUGAGUUGCACCUGCAAAUUAAAAUUAAUUGGCCAACAAAUUGGUCAUCAUUAUUUCAAUAUAAUCGACCCCUCUGAUUUGCUAAAUACUAUUUAAUUGAGAGCUUAAUUAAUUCCCUCCUCUGGCCAUACAUCUUAUAUGUAAUGAAUGUGUCAAAUGUAGAGACUAAUUAGAACUCACAGUCCAAUUAGAUUCUUAAUUAAACUCUAUUUAUGUUUUAAUAAAACUAAAUCUCAUCUUAUAUCCUAAUUAAAGUAGAAUUUGACUUUAAUUUUAAAUAAAUUUGACUUUAAUUUAAAUAACUAUAAAUUUAAUCCGAAAUCUAACAAUAGAUUUUCUCACUAAUCUGUUAAACAACAACAUUUGUAAAACAACCUCUUCUGUUUACUCUAUUCUUAUCUUGUUAUAUCAAGUCCUAUUUAUCUUAUGAUUAACUCAACCUAGUUAAGAACUGAAAUUUGCUUUUAUCCUUUCAGACAUUAUACGAAAGCUUUUUCUUCAAAAAUUUUUUUAAUCUUUUUAAUAAGCGUAAAAUAUAGAAAACUCUAUGUAAAUACUUAUUUUUUCACUUUCUCCACAUGCUUUCAAAAAUUUAUAUUUUAUCUUCUAAAAAUUUCAAGUUGAUGGAUUUAAACGCCCUUCGUCAGAGUUCCAUUACUACUAUUUCGUCCAUUUCUGUUUGUGCAUGUUUGGUAUGCAGAAUUUCCAUUUCGAUUCCAACUCCCGGUGAAUGGGAAUCCCCUCAAUUACCACUUUUUCCAAUCCGGUUUAGGACGUUGGAUUGAAAAUUGAAUCCAGGCGGAAUGAAUUUGUGCGGAUUAAAUUUAACAUUUUUAAAUUUAUUUUUUAAUUAAAACGGAAGUUUAAGUUUAAAAUUAUAUUUAUAAAUUUUAAUUUUAAUUUAAACUUAAAUUAAAAAUUAAAAUUCAAUCAAGCAUUUCGAAUAUAAUUUUAAAAUUUUGAUGUAAAUUUUUAAUAUUUAAUUUUCAGUUUGAAUUUAAAUUAAUAUAUUAUAAAGAUAAAAUUGACAUAUUAAUCUGAAUAUAUUUCUGAUAUCUAUGUGAAUCAAAUAUCGAUAAUGGGAAUGAUUCAUUCCCAUUUCGUUACAGGUGGCGAACCAAAUAAAAUGAGAUAAUGAAUCAUUCCGAUUCUGUUUUCAGCUUAUUCUCUUUUCGAUUUCGAUACCGAUUCCGACUUCGACGCAAACAAAUUAUAAAAUUGUUAGAAAUGCAUAAAAAAAAUUUACUUUGUUUUUUUCUUAACAAGUAAGGAAAAUUUAGUCAUCUUAGAAAGUAAAAAAUAUGAAUAUUUAUAAGGGAACGUUUUUUUUUUUUAUUUUAGUCAAUAAAUAAAGUUUUAAGGGUACUAAGCAUUCUCCAAAUACAUAAAUAAAUAAAGUUUUUAAGGGUACAAAGCAUUCUCCAAAAACACAUAUAAGAUAACUAUCUGCAUAUAUCGACCAUCAUUUUCAAUUUUCCUCAAGCCUGCACGGAUUAUUUAGAAGAUCAAUCUGGGGCGGAAAAUAUGAAAGCAUCAAGCUAGGCCGGUGCUCUGCAAAAAGCGCCCAAACUCACCUGCAUGAUGUGGAAUCAUUGAAUCCUUUCUUUGACAUACUUGUCGUCUCGUCCGAAACUAAUAAUAAAAUUCGGGAUGUGGCGAACCCUCGUGCGCCAGUCAUUGCUGUGGUCGCCUUCUCCUCCUCCUCCUCGAAGCAGCUCAACAAGUUCCUCUGCUGGAUGGUCAAUGCAUAAAUACCGAAGGGUGGUAAGGUACUCGAUACCGUGGGGCAGCUCCUUUAGCUCGGGGCAACGGUAUAGGUGAAGCUUAUUCAGUCUUGCCAUUGCUCCUCUUUCUAUUUCCACCUGACUGAGCUUCUGGGCAAAUUCUAUUAACAAUUUCUUUAGCUUCGGGAAUGAUGAUGCUUGGAAGUGCAACUUCAUGCCAUUAUAUGCCGCCCUAAGUUCAAGACACAUCAACGCGGGCAGUGCUUGCAGGUAAGGAAAUGUAUCUUCAUCCAAUUUUGCAAAAUAAAGUGUUAAUGUGGUUAGGUUUGUUAGAGACCCAAAGGACGUGGCAAGCUCAGGGAGUGAGUUUUUCUCUAAUUCACCAAACAGAAGUAAUCUUUGAAUAGGUGGAGGUAGGCGCAGGGUGCCCAACUGCUGUAAUUCUCGCCCUUCACUCCAAAUAAGUAAAUCGCUAAGAUGGUUCAUCUUUGUGAUACUAUUCCACAAGUCUGCAUAGUGAUGGGUUCUUACGCCAGUUAUCUCAAAUGUCCGCAACUCUGUCAAAGCUUCUACAUUCCGCACGAUCUUCCUAGUUGCAGUAAUAUUUAACAAACUCUGUAAGCCCUUCAAGCGCCGUAUUCCCACCGGUGCCUUGAUGUUCUUACCCGAAUUGCAGGGCAAAAAUAGAUGUCUCAACUUUUGAAGCUCUGUUAUUCCUUUUGGCAGCUUUUCUAUGUUACUUUGUUCCAAAUCUAAUAUUUGCAGAUUUCGUAGCUUCACAAUUAAUCUUGGAAGCUCCUUAAUUUUUGUUGCUCUCAAACCAAGAUAAUGCAGGUUGAAUAGGUUACAGAUCUCACUCGGUAGUUUCUCGAUUAGUGCUCCUUCUAAUUCCAAGACACGUAAAAAUUUUGAUGAUCUUAAGACUGACUUCAGUAAAUCAUAGCUCAUGGAAUUGUUGAAAACAAGUACUGAACGCAAAU
rnacentral:lncRNA from 1 species